UGGUAUAUGUUACUUACAAACUGCACAACGCAUGCUGUCAACUUUUAAACGACUGAAAACUUGAGAGAAAAUAGUCAGUGAUCUUUUGAACUUGAAUACUCCUCAAAAUUUUCUUUGCUACUGAAAACUUGAGAGAAAGUAGUCAGGAUCUUUGUAGUUUGAUGAAAAUUUUUCAGUGGAGGCAGAAUUAACAAGAAAAUUCUUUUUAAUCCUUCUAAAAGAAAUUGCUUUUGAUAAAGGUACUCAAGUAAGUAAGAAAAUUGUUGGCCAAGUACAGUCAAUUUGCAACUUAAAAACGUUUCUUGCUGCACUUUGCGUAAUGAUUGAACUCUAGGACCUACUUGCUGGUGGAACCGAGACCUCAGCGACUACAGUAGAAUGGGCCAUUUCGGAGCUACUGAAAAACCCAGAAAUAUUCAACAAGGCAGCCGAAGAACUCGACCGUGUUAUCGGUCAGAAUCGAUGGGUGAACGAGAAGGACAUGCCAAAUCUUCCUUACAUAGAGGCUGUUGUUAAAGAAACAAUGCGUAUGCAUCCCGUGGUCCCAUUGCUAGUGCCAAGAUGUGCUCGCGAAGAUUGCAAAGUUGCAGGGUACGAUAUUCAAAAGGGAACUCGAGUCAUCGUCAACGUUUGGUCAAUUGUGAGGGACCCUGAAUUGUGGGAGAAGCCAGAGGUAUUUUGCCCCGACAGAUUCAUGGGAAAGGACAUUGACUUCAAAGGGCAAGACUGUAAGUUCUUGCCAUUUGGUGCUGGAAGAAGAAUGUGCCCAGGGUAUAGUUUAGGCCUCAAGGUUAUCCAAUCUAGUUUGGCCAAUCUUUUACAUGGAUACAGAUGGAAGUUGCCAAAUGACAUGAAACCUGAGGACCUGGACAUGGAAGAAAGAUUCGGCAUUACUACACCAAGAAAAAUCCCACUUGUUGCCAUUGUUGAGCCUCGGCUUCCUCGUAAUCUUUAUUGACUAUGAUUCACUACGUGUAUGUUUGAUCUCCCAGUAUCAUCAUUAUCAACUUGUGUUCAAAUAAAUCAGCUCUGCAAGUUUAGAAUUUGUAGCUGCGCUUAUAUGUGUUUGCCAAUUGCUACAACGCUACAAACCCUUGUAGUUGGUGCAUGGCAUAUGCGUAAUCACUGAGAUUGUUAUGCGUAUUGAAUUCCAAAUUUGUUCACAAUUAUGUGAAACUGUGAAUAUGCACACCCCUGAUGUUUCAAAUACAUUCUAUAAAAUUCUGAUGCUAAUUUAAAUCUGCAAUAGCAGGCACACAGUCAAAGCAAUGUGCUCUCUGCCAUCUUUCCUCUUAGCAUCUUCCAUCAAUUCCUGUGCACCUCUAAGCCAUGCCACUGGAUUGGUGCUACUUUCCGUACUUGUUGGGGGGAAGAGAGAAAGAGAAAAAAAAAAGAGCGGAGGGUGAGGUGGCUGCGGCAGUGAUGGCAUGGGAAGGGAGGGAAGAGGAAGAGCAGUAGUGGUGUGGUGCGGAGAGACAGAAGAAGAAGAGAGGAGAGAAAAGAAAAAAGAAAAAAAAGGGAAAAAAAGCAAGAUUUGGAAUUUUUUCAAACCGUCAAAUGCACAAAAGUUUUCUUAAAGUUUUAUAGUAAAGUGUUAUUCUUGGUUUUGAUGAUCACAAAAGUUUGUUUAUACAGACCAAGAAAGUGAACACUUUGAUCAGGUCUGUUGGAACAAAGAAAGCGUAUGUUCGUUUAUCUCCUGACUACGUUGCUUUGGAUUUGGAUGUGGCAAACAAGAUUGGAAUAAUAUGAAUGAAUUUAGUCAUUGUUUUGUUUUCGAUCAAAGAUAUUGUCUUUUAAGUAUGUCUAGUUUGUCAUUCUUGGUACUUUGAAAUAUUUGUCUAACCUUCCUCAAAUACAAGUGUUUUUUUGUCUAUCCAAGAAUCAGGUUCAAAUAUGUCAUGAAAUGUAAAACAACCAAAAUGAGAAGCAAAAACAGGACAAUCAGGUCGGACGGCCGAAAGGAAACUGUCGGACGUCCGAAAAGAUAAAGAACAUCAGGAAGGAAGCACCGUCGGACGCUCACAUGGAAGCAUCGGACGUCCGGAAGGAUCGGACGCUUGCCAUCGGACGUUAAUCAACCGCAUCGGACGUCCGAAAAAUUCCAAGAUAACUUGCUAGCUCUCGGCCCAAGGUCGGACGCUGUGCUGUCGGACGACAAAGAACUUAUCGGACGUCCGAACCUCAACUUGGCUAUCAUCGGACGAUUGGUUCGGACGAUGAUUCGAUCGUCGGACGUCCGACAGCCCCAACGGCUAGUUGACUCUUCAGCUGCCUUCUAUCCGUUGGAAGCAUUGAUGAAGCCCAUUUCUGGAUCCCUUUAAAAUCAAACUGGUCUGAACGAAGUAGGGACUUUUGCUCACUUUGUUUACAAGUUCUCAAGAGAUAUUUUAGCUAGAAAAUAGUCUCCAAAGCAGAUUUGUAUUAAAGUGGUGUGAAUUUCUGUUGAGCAUUUCUUUUGUGGUUGAAAGGAUCUUUAGUGUAGCUUUGUUGAGGGUUUUCUGAGUGAUUGUAAAACUUCCUAGCUUGACUAAGUGAGGCUUAGGGCAAGGAGGAAGAGCUCCCUCCAUUGUACAUCUAGUUGAUCUUCGUUCAUCAAAGAGAAGUUGCUCUUCCUAGUGUUUGGUCUUCAAGUUUGGGUAAAGCUUGGUAGACACUUGGUUUGUUUCUCUAUUUUAUAUUUCUGUUUAAUAAAAUCUUCAUUGCUUAUCUAUACUUGCUUCUCUGAUUAAUAUUGCUAUUGUCUUCUAAUCUACUUGGUUGAUCAUUACUAAAAAGGAAGGUAAAUUUUCAUUAAAGAAAAAGUGCAUAAACUUGGUUAAGUUUUUAAUCAACCAAUUCACCCCCCCCUCUUGGUUGUCUGUGGGACUUACAAUUGGUAUCAGAGCUUGGUCUCUUUUGAUCAAGCUUAACCGCUUAGAGUAAAGAUCAUGGCAACCAUAAAAGUUUCUUUUUUAGAAGGGCAAUCUAUUGAUAGACCACCUAUGUUUAAUGGUUCUCAUUUUAGCAUGUGGAAACAAAGAAUGAUGAUUUUCUUACAAUCUGUUUACAUUGAAUUAUGGUAUGUGGUAGAAGAUGGUCCUUAUGAAGCUAGAAUAGUUGACUCUAUCACCAAUUUGAGUAGAUUAAAGACUAGACAAGAAUUGAAUGAAAAAGACAAGAGAUACCUUUCUUUGAAUGCCAAGGCCAUGUGUAUAUUGUACAAUGCAUUAGAUGUAAAUGAAUCUACUAGGAUUAAAGGUUGUAAAUCAGCUAAAGAUAUUUGGGAUAAAUUGUGUGUAUUUCAUGAAGGUAAUCAAGAUAUUAAAGAACAAAAGAAAUCUUUACUUGUUUCUCAAUAUGAAUUUUUCAAAAUGCAUUCUCUUGAAAAUGUUGAUAAGAUGUGUAGUAGAUUUUGUGACAUUAUUGAAGAACUUAAAUUGCUUGGAAAAGAAUAUUCUUUGGAUGAGAAAAAUAGAAAGAUUUUGAAUGCCUUGCCAAAAGAAUGGGAAAACAAAAUAAAUGCUAUAGAAGAGGCAAAGGAUUUAAAUUCUAUGUCCAUUGAAUCUCUUGUGGAUACCCUAACCUCUUAUGAAUUAAAGCUGGAAUUCAAAGUGCAAGAGGAAGAAAAUGCAAGAAUGUAUAAGAGAGGCAUAGCUUUUAAAGCAUCUCAAGUGGGGGAUAACCCAUCCUUCAUGGGUAAUGAAAUCAUGGAAGUGGACAAUGAUAUAACUCCUCACAUCAAAAGUUUCAAGAAGAUCUUCAACAAGAGAUGUUCAAGAGGAGAUUGCAAAAUUACAUGGGAUGAAUGCAAUUCAAAAAGAGAAAAAGAAGAGUUGUCCCAAAUGGCACUAAUGGCCGUUGGAGAAGAUGAGGUAAGUUCUUAUCACUCUUCUUGUGAUGAAGAUAAUGAAGAUGAUGAUGUGAAAACUCUUAUGAUUAAAAUGCAUAAAAGUUUGAAAAAAUCUUAUGCUAAAAAUAAAGAUUUGAAAACAAAAAUAAAUGAUUUGUUGGAAGAAAACUCCAAACUUUUUCAAGAAAACAAAUGUUUGAGAAUGGAAAAUGAUGAUUUAAAAAAUCAAAAAGGUGUUUUUGAUUGCAAAAAUAAUUUGAAAAGAAAGUUGGAAGAGAAAACAAAGUUUUAUGAAAAAAUGUUGGAGGAACAAAAUUUGUUAAAGAAAAGAAUUAAUGACUUGAACGAGGUUCUCCAAAAUGAAAAACAAAAGUUUUCUCAAACAAAAGAAAGCAAAUCUUUUCAAGGCACAAAUAAGUUUGCUAAGAAAAUUAGUUGCAUUAAAUCCACUUAUAUGCAAAAUACUUCUAUCAUGUGUCACUUUUGUUGCCAAUUUGGACACAUGUAAAAUGAUUGCUAUGUAAAGAAAAAUAUGAGAAAAGAUAUGAAAUCCAUGUGGAUUGCUAGAUCAUGUUGUAAUAACUCCCAAGGACCCUAUUAUGGUCUUGACUUGAAAAAUAAAGGGGGAGUUUGUUUUUUGAUUGAUGCCAAAAGGGGGAGUAGGAUUUAUUGAAAUUUCUUUGCAUGUUGGCACUUUCUAAGGGGGAGCUUUAUUUGAACUUAUUUGAUAAAAGAAAUCUUCAUUUUGUUUGUCAUCAUCAAAAAGGGGGAAUAUCCACCAGAUCAUACCAAAAGAAACUUAAAAUAUCCAUUACAAUACAUAUUCAUUGUUGAAUACCACAAACACGUAAAGAUGACAACCAGUCAUGCUAUGUUUGUUGAGGGGCAAUCUGUUACUAGGCCUCCCAUGUUCAGUGGCUCUAACUAUGUUAGCUGGAAAGAACGAAUGAUUAUCUUUUUGCAAUCUAUCGAUAUUGAACUAUGGUUUAUUGUGAGUGAAGGACCGCAUGAAGCUAACUUUCUUGAUGCAGAUACAGGGUUGCUUCGGCCAAAAACAAGAGUUGAAAUGAAUGCUCAAGAUAGGACUAACCACAUUGAAUGCCAAGGCCAUGAAUGUUAUUUAUAGUGCCCUAGAUUCAAAUGAAUCAAUCAGAGUAAAAGGCUGCAAAUCGGCUAAAGAAAUGUGGGAUAAACUAAGAGAAAUCCAUGAGGGUGGUGACAAUGUGAAAGAACAGAAAAAGGCCAUCUUGGUCACGAAAUAUGAAUCAUUUAAAAUUGAACCUCUUGAGGAUAUUGACAAAAUGUAUUGCAGGUUCACUGACUUGAUCAAAGAUCUCGAGGCGUUGGGCAAAGAGUACACCUUGGGAGAGAAGAACAGGAAAAUUCUCAAUGCCUUGGGCAAAGAAUGGGAAAAUAAAGUGACAGCAAUAGAGGAGGCCAAGGAUUUAAGUUCUGUGCCUAUUGAAUCUAUCAUUAACUCACUAACCACUUAUGAGUUGAAACUGAAAUCUAAAGUGCAGGAGGAAGAGGAUGCUAGAGCAAAGAGAAACAUUGCUCUAAAGACUACUCAAGGUGAAGAUGAUUCUGCUCAUCUGGAUGAUGAAGACUCGGAUGGUGAUGAUAAUGAUCUUGCUCUCAUCACCAGAGGCUUCAAAAGAAUCCUGAAUAAAAGAAAGUUUAGAAGGGGAGGACCUAGCAAUCAAUUCCAGAAUCAGCCAUCUAUCGCAAAGUAUAAAGGUAAACAAGAUUUCAACAAGAAACAGUUGGACAAAUGCUUCGAAUGUGGACAGAUUGGACAUUAUGCAAACGAAUGCCCCAUGAAGAAGAUGAAAGAUGGAAAAGCUGAUCGAAAGCCAAGAUUCAACAAUUUUCAGAUUACUUGGAAUGAAUGCAACUCCGAAGGGGAAGUUGAAGAAGAAGAAGAAUCUGCUCAAAUGGCCUUCAUGGCUAUUGGAAAUAAUGAGGUAACCUCCACACACUCUCAAUCUGAAAGUGAUAAUGAUGAAGAUGAUGAUCUUGAAUCUUUUGUUGAAAAACUGCAUAAUGCCUUGAAGGAAUCCUAUGAUAAAAACAAGCAGUUAAAACAGAAAAUGGCUUUUCUCAUUCAAGAAAAUGCAAGUCUUUUUCAACAAAAUAAACAACUAAAGACCGACAAUGAAAGUCUAGUAAGAGCUGGAUGUAAUGUUCAAGAUGAGCUUGAUAGAAAGACAAAUAUUUGUGAAAUGCUGAAGGAAAGACAUGGUGAUUUGAAAAAAAGGAUGGACAGCUUGGAUGAGAAUUUGAAAGCAAGAAAGCAGGAGUUUAACAAAAGGAACAUGUUAUCUACACAUCCUACUACUUUUCAAAGAACAUUUGCACACAACAAAAUGGCACAUGGUUUCACAACAUAUAGAAGAGGUGAAUUAAGAUAUGUCAAACCAGUACAUGUUAAGGACUCUUCCAUUAUGUGUGUUUUUUGUUGUCAAAGAGGGCAUUUGAAAAGUAAUUGCUAUGUGAAAAGAAAUCUGAAUAAAGGGAUGAAGUGCAUGUGGUUAGUUAGAUACAAUGCUAACUAUUAUGGACCCAAAAAUUAAAAAGGGUACCAAACACGUUAUCUUUUCAGGAUAAAGGAUCAAACAAGUCAAAAUGGUUUAUUGAUAGCGGCUGCUCAAGGCACAUGACCGGUGAUCCUUCCUUGUUCAUAAAGCUGAAAUCAAAAUCAAGUGAAAAUGUAACAUUUGGUGAUGAUGUGAAAGCUAAGACAAUUGGAAUAGGUGAUGUUGGUAAGGAUGGUGAAACUUUUGUUCAUAAUGUGCUCUUGGUUGAUAACUUAGGUUAUAACUUGCUUAGUGUUAGUCAACUGUGUGAUAAAGACUUGUAUGUGUUAUUUAAAAAGCAUGAAUGCAUUGUACUUGAUUCCAAAUAUAAUGUUGUGUUCAAAGGUAAGAGGUUUAAUGACAUAUAUAUUGUGAUUCUUGAUAAAGUUGAUUCUUCUAGCUUAAAAUGUCUUAAAGCUUCAAAUGAAGAUUCUUGGUUGUGGCAUAGAAGACUUUGUCAUUUUAACAUGGAUUUACUAAAGGAAAUUUCGAAAAAGGAGUUGGUUAGAGGCUUGCCAAAAAUUAGUUUUGAUAAGGACAAAAUAUGUGAUGCAUGUCAAUUUGGGAAGCAAACUAAAAUUUCUUUUAAACCAAAAAUGUGUGUAUCUACUUCAAAACCUUUGGAACUCUUGCAUCUUGAUUUAUUUGGUCCCACUCAAAUCACUAGCUUGGGAGGUAAAAAAUAUUGUUUUGUAAUUGUUGAUGAUUAUUCCAGAUACACUUGGGUGAUAUUUCUUGCUCAUAAAGAUGAUGCCUUCAAGAAUUUUACUUCAAUGUUUGCUAAAGUGCAAAAUCUGCUUGGGUUAAAAAUUGUUAGGAUUAGAAGUGAUAAUGGGACGGAAUUCAAGUAUUGUGGUUUUCCAGAAUUUUGUGAUCAUAAUGGUAUAACACAUGAGUUUUCUAUUGCAAGGACUCCACAGCAAAAUGGUGUUGUAGAAAGGAAAAACAGGACUCUCCAAGAGGCUGCUAGAACUAUGUUGAAUGAAUGUAGGUUGCCUAAAUAUCUUUGGGCGGAAGCGGUAAACACUGCAUGUUAUGUGAUGAAUAGAAUACUCUUGAGACCUAUUUUAAAGAAAACUCCUUAUGAGCUGAUUUUUGAUAAGAAACCUACGGUUGGUUAUUUCAAAGUAUUUGGUUGUAAAUGUUUUAUUUUGAAUCUAAAGGAACAUCUUGGUAAAUUUGACAAAAAAUCUGAUGAAGGAAUAUUUUUGGGGUAUUGUGAGAAUAAAAGAGGAUAUAGAGUUUUUAAUAGAAGGACACUUGUGAUUGAAGAAGCUAUACAUAUAACAUUUGAUGAAGCCAAUGAUGAUAAUUCCAAAAGUUUGUGUGAGGAUGAUGAUGUAGGUGUUCGAGAAGCAAUGGAAAAGCUAUCAAUUGGAAAUGAAGGAAGUUCUGAACCAGCAGCAACUGAAAUGGAAAAUGAAGUUCAUAAUGAUCAAGAAGAGGAAGAUGAAGACAAAAAUGAUGAUCCACUCAAAGAUCUUCCCAAGGCUUGAAAAUUCAACCAAAAUCAUCCAAAAGAGCUUAUAAUUGGUGAUCCAUCCGAGAAGGUAAACACUCGUUCCUCAUCUAGAAAAUUGAUUGAUAAUUUUGCUUUAGUUUCUCUUUUUGAACCCAAAAAUAUCAAUGAUGCUUUAAAGGAUGAAAAUUGGAUUUUGGCUAUGCAAGAGGAACUUAAUCAAUUUGAGAGAAAUGAAGUUUGGACACUUGUUGAUAGACCUCAAAAUCAACCUAUCAUUGGCACAAAGUGGAUUUUUAGAAAUAAGUUGGAUGAUAAAGGUGUUGUUGUAAGAAAUAAAGCCAGAUUAGUUGCUAAAGGAUAUGCACAAGAAGAAGGAAUAGAUUUUGAUGAAACAUUUGCUCCCGUACCAAGAUUAGAAUCUAUUAGAAUGCUUCUUGCUUUUGCUUGCUUCAAAGGUUUCAAAUUGUUUCAAAUGGAUGUUAAAAGUGCCUUUUUAAAUGGUUUUAUUGAUCAAGAAGUGUAUGUGGAUCAACCCCCAGGUUUUGAAAAUACAAAAUUUCCAAGUCAUGUGUUUAAACUUUCUAAAGCUUUCUAUGGUUUAAAACAGGCUCCAAGAGCUUGGUAUGAAAGAUUAAGUGGGUUCUUGAUUGAAAAAGGUUUCAAAAGAGGUAUUGUGGACACCACACUUUUUACUAAGCAUGUGUUGAAUGACCUUUUCAUUGUGCAAAUAUAUGUUGAUGAUAUUAUCUUUGGUGCUACUAAUGAGUAUCUAUGUAAGGAGUUUUCCACCACUAUGCAAAAUGAAUUUGAAAUGAGUAUGAUGGGAGAAUUAAAUUUCUUCCUUGGACUUCAAAUACAUCAAACUCUUGAGGGAAUCUUUAUCAAUCAAGCAAAGUAUACCAAGGAAUUACUGAAAAGGUUUGGCAUGGAGGACUCAAAACAAGUUGGAACUCCAAUGUGCACUUCCACAAAGCUUGACAAAGAUGAAGAAGGUAAUCAUGUGGAUGAAAAGCAUUAUAGAGGUAUGAUCGGAAGCUUACUCUAUUUAACUGCAAGUAGACCUGAUAUUAUGUUUGCAGUUUGCUUGUGUGCUAGAUUUCAAUCGUGUCCAAAAGAAUCACAUUUGAAUGCUGUAAAAAGAAUUUUUAGGUAUUUGAAAGGUACAUUAGGCUAUGGUCUUUGGUAUGCUAAAUCCAGUGAGUUUGCACUAUAUGGUUAUUCGGAUGCUGAUUUUGGAGGGUGUCGUGUAGAUAGAAAGAGUACUAGUGGAUCUUGUCACUUUCUUGGAAAUUCUUUAGUCUCUUGGUUUAGCAAGAAACAAAAUGCAAUCUCAUUGUCUACAACCGAAGCAGAAUAUAUUGCCGCUAGUGCAUGUUGUGCUCAAUUUUUAUGGAUGAAGCAUACCCUGAAUGACUAUGGAUUGUUGUAUGACUGCAUGCCUGUAUUCUGUGAUAAUACGAGUGCUAUAAAUUUGACCAAAAAUCCUAUUCAGCAUUCUAGGACAAAGCAUAUUGAAAUAAAGCACCACUUUAUUCGUGAUCUUGUUCAAAAAGGUGAAAUUUGUGUAAAUUAUGUUUGUUCUAAAGAUCAAUUUGCUGAUAUUUUUACAAAAGCUUUGCCAUUAGAUCAAUUCAUUCAUCUAAGAUCAAAAUUAGGAAUGUUCGAAAAAUCAUCAUAAAUUUUUCAUUGCCUUCGGACGUCCGAAAGAGGAUGAAUGGACGUCCGAUGAUGUUCUUCAGCCAUUUUCCAGAUUGCACCUGUUCGGACGCAGCUGUCGGACGCACAACUUCGUUCGGCAGUCCGACAGUGCAACGGCUCAUUUUUUAAAAUAACUUUCUUCCUUAUUUGCUUCAGUCUCUUCCUAUUCUAUCUCUUCUCGGACGAAAACCCUCUCUUCUCUCACUCUCAAAUUCGUACCAUUCUGUAGCUACCAUUCCCAAAUUGACUCAACCAAAACAUUUCCCCAUCGUUUGCGUUUCAUUUCUCCUGAUCAUUUCACCAAACUGAGUAACACUUCGCAAAUCCCCAAAUUUUCCUCACAAUCCUACUCUUGCAUAACCGCUCUGUCAAAUCUCGUUCAAGGUGUUUUUGUCCCAAAAUUUCUGUGCGAUUCACUUCCCUACUGUUGUGUGCAUCAUUUGCAUCCUCCAUUCCACACAUUUAGAACAAUGGUGAAUCUAAGGGGAGGAAAAGUUACUGCCGGACGCAAGCAUCCACUCAGGGAUGAGGAUGAAAAUCUUCCUACUGUCAAACGGACAUCCAAACGCUUCAAAAGGGGAGCUAUCAAGGGUCAAAUGUCACGACCUACUCCACAACCCACUUCUCAACCAGAAUCUGGACAGGGGACCUCUUCUCAACCGCCUCCUAAAUCAGUCCCUCUCCCUCCAUUCUUUGAUGAUGCUGCGAAAGACAAAUACGCCUGGAUAUCUCAGAAGGGUGUCAUCCCUCAAAGAACUGUAAACCCCUCUGAAUUUCGUUCCAUAGGUUUAGAAUCCAUUCUAAGUCUAUUUGAUUUCCAGAAAUGGUCGCAUCUCAUUUCCAUGCCCAAUGUCUACUAUCCUGAUAUGCUGCAUCAAUUUUUUGCUAACCUUAGGAAAGGAACUGACCAAACUGAGAUCAUGUCUAGGGUAAAUGGGGUAGACCUAAUCUUUGAUUCUGAUACUGUGAAUUCCAUUUUAAAGACUACCAUUGAACGUUUGUGCAAAGAUAAGGUUGCUAAUUUCUUUUCUUAUGAAGAGCUUCCUACUGCUGCAAAUCAUUUUGAUGGGACAAAAAUGUUAACUUAUUUCAAAAGAAGUUUUUCUUCACCUGCUGAUGCUAAGUUGAAUGAUUUGGCUCCUGUGAAUUUGAUUGCCUUUUCUAUCAUUUCAAACUUGCUUGUGCCCACUGAUGGCCAUAGAACUGAUGCAAACAAAAUGGAGCUGUAUCUUUUUUACUGUUUUCGAGAAAAAAUUCGGAUUGAUUUUGGCUUUGUCAUGUGCAAGUUUUUACUUCGCUAUGCUACUGACUCUCGAAGAAAACUAUCCUAUGGGAAGUUUCUUCAAAAGAUUUUUGAAUUUUACAAAGUUCCAAUUCUAGGUGUUUGUCCCAAAGAAGCAUCUUCUUAUGCUUUUACCAGAGCAUAUUUUGAAAGGAAAAAUCUUAUUUUUAAAGAUAAUCUGUGGGCAUAUAAGGGGGCAUCAUCUAGUGAACAAAGAUCUAAGACUGUACAUGAUUCUUCACCCAUUUCACUCACUCCCAUUCACCCUAGGAAGUCUACCACUAAAGCAUCUUCCUCUUCCAGUAAUGAGGUAAUUGAGCUUCUUCAUGAACAAAAACAGCAUGUUCUUCUUCUAGAACAUGGCCUAAUGCUCACCAUGUCUUCUGAGCAACAAGCUGCCUUUCUUGAUAAAAAGAACCUUCUUUUUCCUCCACCUGUGGUUGAGGAAGUCUCACAUGACAAAGAACCUCGAACCACUGAUCCAGGUUCAUCAGUUCCAGAUCCGAAUCCAUCAACUCCUGUGACUCCUCAUGGCCCUUCCACAUCAGACAAAGGCAAGGCACCAAUUGAAGAAGCUACUGAAGAUGAUGAAGAAACUGAUGAGGAAGACCUCUCUCAAUAUCAGCUCUCUCGGAGGACUCCUGGAUCCACUUAGUUCAUCAUUUAGGACAUUUGCAUUCUGUUUGUCUCUUUUAUGUGUUUGUGGUAUUCAACAAUGAAUAUGUAUUGUAAUGGAUAUUUUAAGUUUCUUUUGGUAUGAUCUGGUGGAUGUUUAAGUACUGUUUUGAUGAAUGUCUAAAUAUUUUGAUGAAUGAUUGUCUAUUCUGCUUGUGUGAAUGUAAUGAAUUUGUGGAUUGUAUGAUUGUCUAUUGAAUAUGAUUGUCUAUUUUAAGUACUGUUUUGAUGGAUGUGUUGGAUGGUGUCACCAGGAUGUUGAUUUGUGAACUUGUGUAAAUUUGUGACUGUGUGGAUGACAAAAAGGGAUGUUGAUGUUGAUGUGAUUGGUUGCCCUUUUGUGAUGACAAAAAGGGGGAGAUGGUAUAAUGAUUGGAUUGAGUGAUGAUUGGUGAUUGAUGAAUGAUUGGAUUGAGUGAUGAUUGGUGAUUGAUGAUUAGUGAUGUUAGGAUAUGUUGGAUUGAUUGUUUAAAUUUGGAUUGGCUGAUAUGCUUAAUUGUUUAAUGUUUAAUUGUUUAACUCGGAUGGGCAGCCAAGUGAGGGGGAGGUUUUUCAAAAUUUUUAAAUUUUAGGAUUCACUAAGACAGGGGGAGUUUUCAUUUCAAUCAUCAAUUUCAUUUCAAACUUUUGUUUUGUCAUCAUCAAAAAGGGGGAGAAUGUUAUUCUUGGUUUUGAUGAUCACAAAAGUUUGUUUAUACAGACCAAGAAAGUGAACACUUUGAUCAGGUCUGUUGGAACAAAGAAAGCGUAUGUUCGUUUAUCUCCUGACUACGUUGCUUUGGAUGUGGCAAACAAGAUUGGAAUAAUAUGAAUGAAUUUAGUCAUUGUUUUGUUUUCGAUCAAAGAUAUUGUCUUUUAAGUAUGUCUAGUUUGUCAUUCUUGGUACUUUGAAAUAUUUGUCUAACCUUCCUCAAAUACAAGUGUUUUUUUGUCUAUCCAAGAAUCAGAUUCAAAUAUGUCAUGAAAUGUAAAACAACCAAAAUGAGAAGCAAAAACAGGACAAUCAGGUCGGACGGCCGAAAGGAAACUGUCGGACGUCCGAAAAGAUAAAGAACAUCAGGAAGGAAGCACCGUCGGACGCUCACAUGGAAGCAUCGGACGUCCGGAAGGAUCGGACGCUUGCCAUCGGACGUUAAUCAACCGCAUCGGACGUCCGAAAAAUUCCAAGAUAACUUGCUAGCUCUCGGCCCAAGGUCGGACGCUGUGCUGUCGGACGACAAAGAACUUAUCGGACGUCCGAACCUCAACUUGGCUAUCAUCGGACGAUUGGUUCGGACGAUGAUUCGAUCGUCGGACGUCCGACAGCCCCAACGGCUAGUUGACUCUUCAGCUGCCUUCUAUCCGUUGGAAGCAUUGAUGAAACCCAUUUCUGGAUCCCUUUAAAAUCAAACUGGUCUGAACGAAGUAGGGACUUUUGCUCACUUUGUUUACAAGUUCUCAAGGGAUAUUUUAGCUAGAAAAUAGUCUCCAAAGCAGAUUUGUAUUAAAGUGGUGUGAAUUUCUGUUGAGCAUUUCUUUUGUGGUUGAAAGGAUCUUUAGUGUAGCUUUGUUGAGGGUUUUCUGAGUGAUUGUAAAACUUCCUAGCUUGACUAAGUGAGGCUUAGGGCAAGGAGGAAGAGCUCCCUCCAUUGUACAUCUAGUUGAUCUUCGUUCAUCAAAGAGAAGUUGCUCUUCCUAGUGUUUAGUCUUCAAGUUUGGGUAAAGCUUGGUAGACACUUGGUUUGUUUCUCUAUUUUAUAUUUCUGUUUAAUAAAAUCUUCAUUGCUUAUCUAUACUUGCUUCUCUGAUUAAUAUUGCUAUUGUCUUCUAAUCUACUUGGUUGAUCAUUACUAAAAAGGAAGGUAAAUUUUCAUUAAAGAAAAAGUGCAUAAACUUGGUUAAGUUUUUAAUCAACCAAUUCACCCCCCCUCUUGGUUGUCUGUGGGACUUACAUAAAGCAUAGUAAAAUUUUAAACUAACACCUAGAAAAUAGCAAUCAUUUUGGAAACAAAUCCUGAGAUUUAUUAUAAUAUCACUUAACUUCUCUGAAGUUUUUAAAAUCUUACUUUCUUCCCCUGCCAACUUGGGAAGAUCAAGUGUUUCUAUCAAAGGUCACAAAUUUACAACAAUUACUGUUGCACUCUUUAUGACUAUUUAAUUGAAAAACCAAAACAAGAAGAGAAUUUUUAAAAGACCAAAAACUAAAGAUGAGAAAGAUAACCAAAUUGCUAUCCAAUAUUGGUCUAUAUUUCUUUGUAUCAACGUGGUGGUGGAAUAGUAAAAGACAUGGAUAAAUUAAAUUCUAGUUAAAGACAUGGGUAAUUUUUGUAGAAAAGUUUUGAGGAAAUCAAGAAAUUCUUUUAGAAAAUAUGUUCUAAUAUAGGAUAUAAUUUAAGUUAUACUAAAAAUUAAAAUAACCUCUUCAUACAUGUGGUUUGUAAUAUAAAUCCUACUUAUAGAAAAAAAAUUAUAUAAAUAAGUCAGAAUUUAAAAAAUUAGUCAAAAAUGUUCUAAUGACCAAAUAUAUAUCUAGGAAUAUUCUUUUUUUUUUGUUAGAACAUGAUUUGUUAUACAAGGUAAUAGUUAUUGUACAUCUACAAGAUUAUUCGUUAUUGCAUUUAUAGUUGCUCAUAUUUUCAACUUUUUACUUGUUAAAUUUAUUUUAUUUUUUAUUGUUGUUGUACGCUUAAUAAGUAGGAUAGCAUAAGAGUAGUAUUAGAACAAAAAUUUUAUCUUUCUUGCAUUUCCUUCAAAGGGACUAAAAUGUUAUGAAAAAUAUGAAUCCAAGAGAGGUAUGUGAGAUUUUAAAAAUUGAAAGAGUUCUAAGUGAUAUUUUGAGAAAUGUCAUGCGAGGUUUCCGAAAUCAUUUCCGACUUAUUAGUAUUGGACCAUUGGUAGGCUGUGUCGGACGAAGCAAAUCACAUGUCAAAUUUCAUUUGAUUUACGGCUGGAAGGCUAAGGAAGCUGUAGGUCCUGAAGCAAAAUUAGAUGGUUGCCAUAAAACAACAAAUCUUUUUAAAGGUUUUUUUUAACUAAAUAAAAUAUUCCCUCUCAAAUUAGUUUUCUUUUUCCAAAUUUCAGUUAUGUGAGUAAAUGAAAGCUUUUACAACCAUUAGUUCUUUUAAAAUAUUUUAAAGCGUAACUGCAUGUACACAUUCUAUAUUCAUUUGCCUCUUCUUCAGUUUUUAUACUCCAUCUAGGAUGUCUAAUCAUAAUUCCGUAAAAAAUUAAAAAACUAUAUAUAUUUUUCUUUAUAAUUAGUCAAUUAUAAAUUAGUAAAGUUCUAAUCAAUUUCAUCCAUUAUCUAACUUGCAAGAAAGGAAUAGAUAUCUCCUAAAUACAAAGUUCAAAAGGAAUUUCUAGUCUUUUAUAAUCACGUUCACAUGAUGUUUCGGUGGAUAUCCAUUUGUCCAUUUUCCGUUACAGAAACUUUACUUAUUACAAUCUUUUCUUUACACUCCUCUAAAAUAGUAUGAAGUAUUACCAUAAUUCUUAACAUAAUUAAAAUAGUAUUAAUUAUUCUUAAUAACUUUCAAAGUAUGUUUUAUGUUUAGUGUCUUACAUUCAUUAAAUUUAUUGUUUUAGUUCAUUAAAAUUCGAAGAUAAAAAGAAGUUAAUGCAAAUGCACGGCUGAAUAACUGGUGGUCUAAUUCUAUUGCUUGCUUAUCCACAAGAAUGACCACACCAACACUACAUUAAUACACUCAUAUUUCUUAAUUACUUGCAUUACUUAUUCUUUCUUCCCAACAAUUCUACAGCCCAUCAUCAUCAUUCCAAUUUUAAUUCAAUAAUCUUCAUACAACUCUGAACAUAUAACUACAUUUAAUAUAAAUUCGUGUCAUUCCUGCAUUUCAAUUCUCAAAAUCUUAUGGCAUGCCUUACUUUAUAAUGGUGUUUAAUUACUUAAGUUCAUAAACAAUCAUUAGUAUCAAAAUCAUAAACUUGUAUCGCACAAUAGGAUGCUCUUCGCAUCAUUAUCAGAAGUAAUUUCAAUUUCUUCGCAUAGUUUGUUUGCCCCAUCACUUAAGCACGGCAAGAAUUUUUUUUUAAAAAAUUUUAAAUAGCUGCAACAAGUUAUUAACAAAAGAUAUUAUGCUAGCUCUAAUACUAUGACGCUAUUCCCGUUCCUCUAGAGGAUUUUUCAGUCAACAAACUCCUUCAACUCCCUUCCUCAAGUUCUUUCUAGGGUUCUUUCUAUUUGUUUCUGUAAUGCAUUUUUUUGACAAAUUUUCAAUCCUAGUAUUUUCUCAGUAGAAGUAUCUUUCUUGCUUAGUGAGAGUUUUUGUUUUUUGUUUUUUUAGUUUUUAUUAGAUUUAAGUUUAUUCAAGUCUAAACUUUCUCGUAGGGCUUGAAAAUCUGUCCGGGGAAGGCUUACAAAUCAUUUACAACUACAGAGAUUUAUAUGCAUUUAAUUGUAAGAAAAUUGGGAGCUUUCUAGUAUUUUUUUUGUUAUUGGUUUCUCUGAUUUGAAGGAAGUCACUUCUAUUUGCAUUUCCAUUGCGUCUUUUUCAUAUAUUUGCUGCUAUUUGUACAACUUUUCUGUGAUUAAAUAAAAUUCCCUUCCUCGUUAAAAUAAAUGAAAGAAAAUAUGAAGGAGAAAUUAAAUUGAUCUAAUUGACAAUAUGUCUUUAUAACUAGAUGCCUUCUCAGAUAUUCUCAAAAACUUCCAUACUCUAACUAUCAUUAUUUUACCACAAUAGUACUUCUUUAACAAUUACUAGCAUUUCUAUGUUAUCAUUUGAACUGCUUCCUUUCCAUCUUUGGUACACUUAAAUUUGCAAUUAUCUCAUGAAAUUCUUAAAUUCAGUAACUUUCAACUACAUGUUAUGAUGAGAGAUAUUUGUUUGACAUGAUAUAAACCUAAUAAGAAAAGAAUUCAAUUUGAUAACACACGUAAGACAAUAUAUAUAGGUCCAUGUACAUAAACCAAAGAACAAAAUUAUAUCAAUUCAGUAAGCACAUUUAAUAAUAUUCCCUGGAGCCUUAAAGCAUAAGUUAAACAUUUUAUCUGGAAAUGUCUCCUAAGAAUCUUAUACGUGAUGAAGUAAUUAGGCAGAGAACUGGGAAACGGAAAGACUCGAGCAUAUGCGUUUUUUUUUUUUUUUUUUUUUUUGUGAAAUUGCAUAACAAAUAUGGUAAGUAGCACCAAUCCAGUGGGAUGGCCUAUUAUAAGUGCAUAUUUUGCAUGUUUUAAGUGUGUUUUAUUAUUUAGUUUUGGUGUGUUUUAACUACAUUUAUAGCUACUUAACUAAAUUUCUAGUGAAAAUAUGCUUAUGGUUAAAAUUUUAAAAAUUGCAUUUCUAUGGAUUUUAAUAGCGAUAACUUUAUUUUUUUUAUAGGUUUAAUAGUUCAAUCAUCAAUUGGAGUGAAUUGAAAAUAUACUUGGAUGAUUAUUGAUGAUUUCAAGUUGUUUAAAGAAGACAUGAAGUGCAAAAAUGAAAUGCAAACAAGAACAAAAGAAAGAAAGUUUUACAACUUUGACACCUUGUGAUAUUUCGGCUAUAUCUUGCACUACAAACAUCAGAUUGAGAUCAUUAUUAAGCAUUUGAAGCUAAGAGAUAUAUCUAUAUUUGUUAUGAAGACAUCAAAGUGCAAUUCAAUUUUUUUCUUUUUCAAAAAGUCGAAAUAUAGAAGUGCAAUUCUAUUGUCAAAUCUGUAGCAGAGUCUUGACCAGGUGAUGAAAUUUUGGUCAUUUCUCAAUCCACAGAGCUUCAAAUUGGAUGAUUCCUAAUGCAUUGAAAAGCUAACUCAAAAAGUUACAAUUUUUAUGUUUUGCACAAGAACUAGUUCAGCCUCCAUCAUCAAGAAAAAAUCAGUGAAAGUUAGGAAAAGCAGAGAAAGUAAAUUCGAGUUCGGAUAUAAACUAAACCCGACCUCGGAUAAACUUCUGUAAUCGGAGGCUACAUCUAAGAGGAAGAUCCGAGCUUGGAUCCCCAUGUUAUAGGCCUCAGAUCCUAAUGUGUAGUGAAGAUAAAAAUGGAGAAAACUGAAAUCCAAGGAGUAUUUAGAGCAAUCGAACCUCGGAUCCCCAAUUGCGAAUCUGCAACUUGUGCUCCAUUCACACAACCUUUUUUAUCACUUUUUCUACAAAGAUUCUGGCUGGAAAUGAGCAUAUGAGCAUGGAAGUUUUGAGAAGAAACCUUUGAGAUUUUCAAGAGUCGAAAUGCUAACUAGAAACAACUCAUCUUGAGCUUUAAUCUUUCUAUAAAUAGAGGCCUUGGAAAAUAUUUUUACAACUUUGGAAGGCUAGAAAAACUCACCAACAAUGUAGUCUUUACUAGAAUUUCCUUAGUUUCUUAGUUAGAGUAGAUUAGUAUAGUUAGGCUAGUUUAUCCACUCUUAUAUAAUGGUAAGAUUAGGAUGAAGAUGGAGAUGAAAAAGGAGAGGAUAAAACUCAUGUGACAAGGGCUAUCUCUUCUCCAUUAUCUUUUACAUUGGAUUCUUAAAUAUGGUUAAUAUGCAAGUUUUGGAAUUUGUUUUCAUGUUUUGCUAAAGUUUAUACCUAGAGUUAUGAAUGAACUUUUUAUAUCUUACUAGUGAUGUUUAUUUGGUUAUUUGAUGAUGUUAUUUUGAACAAGUUAUUUAUCACUUUUGCUUAUCUAAUCAUGAUUAGAUAAGCAAUUAAUUAUGAUAAUCUUAAAGUGUUAAAUUUGUAAUGAAAAUUGAAAUUUAGCACUAGUUCAAGAAAGUGAUAAACCUAUGGAAUACACUCACGAAAGUAGAGGUGCAACUUUGUAACUUUAGUGACUUGUUUCAUGUAAUUUCAUAGAAGAAAUGAGUUUGUAGUUAGUUUCAUAACUACGAAAAUAGGUAUGAAUUAACUAUUGGUAUAGUUGGUAUAUCGGUGAAAGCACGUAUCACGUAUAUUAGGAAAUUAUGUCAUAACUAGUCAAGAUAAUAGUAACUUAACCGAUAAUUUCAUUUGUAAAAGUAGUAAGGAAUUCCAUACCUCUAGGAGCUUUAUAUUGUCAUUUUUAUUACUUUUAUCUCAUGUUUGUAGUGAAAUUUUAAUUUCUUGCGCUUAUGAUAGUAUAAAUAAUAAAGGAGUUCAAAAAUCAUCGGUAAUUGACAAUCUUUCCUAUGGGAUCGAUACCUAAUACCCCUAUACUCAAUAAACGACUUGUAUACUUGCGAAAAAUCGUGUGUGGAGUAUUUAAAAUUAUAUAAAUGUAGAACUUGAAUGUGGAUAAACCAAUUAUUAUAUAUAUAUAUCCGGCGUUCAUUAGCUCUCUGCCAUUGAUGAGGGGAAUUGAUAGAAGAUGCUAAGAGGUAAGACGGCAGAAAACGCAUUGCUUUGAACUGUAAACUUGUGCAGAUUUGCGUGGCCAUGACACUACUUGGACGGUCGGACCAUUCAGUACUGACAGACCGUGCUGUAAGAAAGAGUGACAUCCACAGUCAACUCAAGGGCGGAGCCAUGUUAGAGAUCAAUAAUCAGAGGCUUGCAAAAUUUCGUAAUUUUUCAAUUUAGCUCACAUUUGCACUGACAAAUUUUGUAAAAAUUUCCUUUUGCUCUCGCAUUGCCCCUUAAAACAGCUAACGUAUUGGAAACGUAGAAUGGACCAGCUAAAUAACCAAGAUGCCACUGAUCACAAUAAUUUGCAUAGUGAGUUAUUGAGUGACUUCCCCGCCUUUGCUCAUUAUAAAUGCCGGCCCCCUCCACAUUCCAAACAUACUCAACCAGCUUCUGUGCUAUAUUUUGCUAUCUUCUGCCACCACCACUGCUCCCACAAAAUGGAAAGCUUUUCUCCCACUUGGGCUGCGUAUGCACUCGAAUCAUACGAACAUAUUUGGGUGGAAGAAAUGAAUUCACUUCUGCAGCAGCUAUUCAAAUCAUUGGGCAAGCCUGUCGUGUUGAAAGAUUAUCUUUCAAUAGGGAGUUUCAAGGUGAUUAGUAGGAUGAUCUUGGGGGAAAACAUACAUUGAUGAGUCUUAGAACUCAAUUGUCAUGCACGAAGAGUUCAGGCAAAUGAUGGACGAGCUAUUUUUGCUGACUGGUAUGUCUAACAUUGGUGAUUCCUUACCUUGGAUCGAUUCCUUGGAUUUGCAGGGGUAUAUCAAAAGGAUGAAAAUCAUGAGCAAGAAAUUUGAUAGGCUUCUGGAACAUGUUCUCGAUGAGCAUAAUGCCCAGAGGGAGGAUGAAGUUGAUUGUGUCAACAAGGACAUGGUGGACGUCCUUUUGGACCUUGCAGAUGAUCCCACUUUUGGAGGUAAAGCUAGAGAGGCAUGGAGUCAAGGCAUUGACUCUGGUAUAUGUUACUUACAAACUGCAUAAUGUGUGCUGUCAAGUUUUAAACGCCUAAAAACUUAGAAAGUAGUCAAUGAUCUUUUGAACUUGAAUACUCCCCAAAAUUUUCUUUGCUACAAAAAACUUGAGAGAAAAUAGUCAGAAUCUUUUGAGUUUGAUGAAAAUUUUUCAAUGGAGUCAGAAUUAACAAGAAAAUUUCUUUUUAAUCCUUCAAAAAGAAAUUGCUUUUGCUAAACGUACUCAAAUAAGUUAGUGACGAGUGCAGGGUAUACAUAUGAUAGGGUGUUAAUUGUUAGUAAUUUUAUUGUUAAUUUUCCCUUUUAUCUUUGUCAAAUAUUGUUUUAAUUAUUAAUAUUUACUUAUAUUUGGUAUUGGAGCCAAUUUCAGGGAAUGAAGCAGAAAACUACAAAAAAGAAGGGACUUUCUGAAGAUAAUUGAGACUUCAAAUAAGCCACAGACCUGGCCCACAUGGUGAUAUACGCGGACUGCAUUUCUUUUUUGCGGAUUAGGAGUAUCUUGGAGUGUUGAAGUGUUUGACUAUCAAGAGGAAACUAAAGAAAGAAGGACUUCAGAGAACUUCACUUUAUGUACACUCCUUUCUCAAUUUGUGCGAGGACCACGGAAAGAAGAAAGGCAUUAGUCAUUUGAAUUGAAAGGAAACAAACGUGCAAAGAGUUGUCUUUGUUCCUUAUUCGUGGGGACCACUGGAUAGAUAGCUUGAGUCAUUUCCUUUUGGCUAUAUAAGGACAAUAGUAAGAAAGACUAUGGAGAGUUUUUUUAAUAUAGUUUAGUUUUAUUCUUUCUUGGUUCCUUUGAUGGCCUGGACCUCAGUUAAAUUACUUGGAGAUUUUCUCAUGAUACGUGGCUAAGUUUUCCUAGUCGAAGGUCAAUUUGAGGACUCGGUUUCGAACAUCUGUGAGAUCUAAUUAUUUUAUUUACUUCUUUUAUUUAUUGGUAUUUGUGCGUUUUCUGAUUUAAUUGCUUAUGCUUGUUAUGUUAUUUGAAUGUCAAGGGCCCGAUAUUCGAAUUAACCUAAUGAUCUAAUGCCAAAUUAAUUGAUUGAAUCCGUAAUUGUUCAAUUGAUUAAUACCAGUGGCGACUAGCGUGAUUGGUUUCAUGUUAGGGAAACGUAUGAUCUAACUUAAACAAACCCUCGUAGCGUGUUUGUUGGUUAGGAUUGGGCUUUUCUAAUUAUUAAUGCAAUCGAGUAAUUCAAUCCUAUUGUCGUACCUAGGGUUAUUUCUUGGUUAGAGAAAUAGUUAACGGUCGUACCUUAACUAUCGAGAAAUUAAGGAAAGACUGGUUGUUCAUCGCGUGUAUGGCAACUAUAACCAAUUUAUUAAUAAGUAAUUGAAUUAUCUUUGCGUCGAUGAUCAGUUGCAUGGACCGUAUCUGAAAAGUUGCACCUUUGGCUAGAGUCAUAUUGGUUAUUGAUUAAUUUCUAUUAGUUGUUUUAUUGGUUAGUUAAUUAGUUAUUUUAUAUUCUCCAAAAAAACCCCACAUACUUUGGACUUUAAAAUAAACGAAUUAUCCCCAGUCCCUGUGGAUUCGACCCUACUUAUCACUAUCUACAGAAAUUAUAUUUUAUUUAAGUAGGUAUUUAUUAUUGCACAGGUUUGACACCCUGUCAAUUUUUGGCACCGUUGCCGGGGACUGGUGUCAGAUUAAUUUGUUUCUUUUUGAAUUCAUCUUGUUUUCAUUUUUUUUUAUUUUUCUCUUAUUUUUUUAUAUAUAGUUUAUGACUUCUAACACUCCGUAUUUUGGUGAUAGACUGGAUUUUGUUUCCAGGGAAGACAAUGAGGCUUGUUUUUUUUUUUUCUAAAUUUGCAUAUUCAGAGGCACUAAACUCUCUUAUUGAAAGAAUGGCUGAUGCAACCUGUGGAAUUUGUUAUGUCAGGGAUCAUUCAACCGGUAUGUGCCCCGAAUAUCAAGACUACCUGAGUGAUUAUCUCACAAAAAAAUUUGGAGAUUCUUCACCUCGAUCUCAAACGUGGUAUGACUCUUAUUCAAACGGGUAUGAUCAAGGAUGGUGGGAUAACUCCAGUUAUAAUUAUACAACAGGGUCAAUGAAUUUUCAGCAGUAUGAGUCUCAAGAAUCAUCAUCUAUGUCAGGUAUGUCUUUUGAAGAAAUAGUUGAAUCAAUAGCUACUAAUACAUAUCAAUUCCAACAGGAGACACAAAUGAGAAAUGGGAUGAUGAAGGAUGCAAUGAGUAAUCUGGCAGAUCAAAUAUGUCUAUUGACAUCUAGAAUAAAUCGAUUGGCUUCUCAAAUUGAAAAAUUGCCCUCGAAAAUCAUUGUUGAUUUUGAAGAAAAUGAGAGUUCAAUUUGCUUGACUAGUGAUGAGGAGAUGCAAGAGUGUCAAAAUGAGAGAUCUACAGAUGCAGUUUAAAAAGAAGUCGAAAAGGAAGAAAUGGAACCCCAACCGCAACCCAUUCAAGUGAAAGAAUCCAGUGAAGAAUCAUCAAAUGUGGUGACACCACCUCCAUUCCCUAACCCGCAUUUUCUUAACUCUUACUCUAUGAUUUCUGUUAAUGAGAUUGAUUUUGCUAUACCGAAAGUUUUUGAGUCUCAUGGCAGAAAUAAGUUAAGAGUAGCUAUGGUCAAAUAUCUUGAACCGUUGAGUGCUCUUGAUGAAGGAGUGGAUGAAGAAUUGAGAUCACUGCUUGAUUAUUUGGCGCCAUCAACUAGUCCAUGGAAGACCGUAGCUCGUGUGCUCAAGGAUUACUCUAUUUACGAGGGCUAUCAGGACUAUAUAGAGGAUGAAGCAUUGAAACGAGUCACAAGAUUUUGUCCUCCCUAAGCAAACAUGAUAAUAUCUAGCCAAAAACGUUAAAGAAAGGCGCUUUUUGGGAGGCAACCCAAAUAUUGAUUUUAUUGUUUUUCGUUGUUAAAUUCUUUAAUUAUGCCGUUUCUUAUUUAGGUUGUGGUCGGUUUUAAUGUUUUCCUCCACUGUGAUCAGGACAGCAAUCUUGGCGUGCCCACGCGGUGUUUAUAACUCCUGAAGUCAGUGGACAUUUACCAAUCUUGGCGUGCCCACGUCAUGUUUGACGACCCAAAAGCUAAGAAAAAAAAAUUUAUUAUUUAUUUAUUUAUUAUUAUUAUUAUUUCUAAAAAAACAAAAAGGAUUAAAGUAUUUUAGCAAUUACAAUUUUCGAAAUUUGAAUUCAAAAAGGAAAAAAAAACUGAAAAAAAAGAAGAAAAAAAAAACAAAAAUCCACAAAAACUAUUUUUUCUUUUCUUUUUCUCCUUUCUUUCUCUUUUCUUCUUUUCUUCUUUCUUCUUUCUUUCUUUUUUUUCCUUUUCUUUCUUUCUUCCUUCUGCCCCCGCUGCUUUCCCUUUUUCCCUUUUUCCUUCGUUUCUUCCUCCAUUGCCGCCGCCGAACCCAGCUUCCUAGCACGACUACCACCUCGCAGCUCUACCGCGCGCCAGCCCGCCGCCAACCGUCGCUGCCCGCUUCUCCCACCCGCUACCAGCUCGCGGCCAAGCUCCUCUACCGCGCCUCCAGGCCGUCGCCCUGCUCCGCGAGCUCCACCGCACACGCCCCUCCCUCUCCAGCUCCACUUCACCCACAGACCACGGCCGCACUCUUCUCACCUAGCGUCCUACCACCAUCGCAAGCUCCACCCCAGCUUACCACCACCACCUCCCUCUGCUCUCUCUCCACUUCACACCAGAUCACGGCCAAUAGCUCCUCCUCGCAGCCCCCAGCUCCUCCACUAUAGCGACUCCGUGCGCUCCGCCGCUGCUCCACUGCUCCACCACCCAUGGCCAUCUGCUUGGUGUCUCUGGCAUGCAACAGAGGUACUUGUUUUUCCCAAUUUAUUGGCUAAUUUUCUAAGGUAAAUCACUUAUAUUUGGGGUACUAUUUCUAGAAUAGAUCUCUAGAGUGAAUUGGACACAGGCUUUGGGGUCUAUGUUGAACUUUGGUUUUCGGGUCCCUGCUAAAUUAUUUUACUGAAUUUUUUAUUCCCUAUGACUGUUGAUUUAAGUUGCUAAAUUAUUCGGGCCUCUGCUGAAUAUUAGUUGGCAGAGUUGUGCAUUUAUUUGUUCAGUCCAGCAACUAUAAUACUUAGUGCAUUGAUUGCUGAUUCAUGGUCGUAGUUACUAUCCCAAUUCAUUCAUUUGGGACUUCUUUUAGCCCUUGAGAUUGAUAUUUUCUGGACUCUCUGAUAGCUAUUUUAUUUGGAAGUUAUCGGGGGUUGACUUUGGGGUUUUGCUGCUUUUGUUGGGCGUUUGUUGUGAUUUUGGGUUGGGCAUUUAGUUGCUGUUUCUGUACACCAUCGGUUGCGAUUUCUAAGAGGUUCUUGUGGCUGAUUUAAUUUUGCUCUGAUUCCAUUUUUGUUGUGCACCAUUGACUAUUGGGCUUUUGUGCUUAAAGUGUUGCUCCUGCUAGAUCUCCGAACUGUUGCUGGAGUUACCAUUUUCUUGGAUCAAAUACUGAUUUUGGCAGGUUGAAUUGGGGAAUUGACUGUCCAAUUGGAGGCAGCUGUUACCAUUUUGGGACCAAUUGUGUCUAUUUUGCUGUGAUUUGUGUCUAAUUGUGGGUAAUUUGCUUGUUAAAUUGGGAGGUGCCUAUAACGCUUAAAUUUGCUUAUUGAAGUUAGUUGCCUCUGAUUGCCUUGUUUAGGAGCAUUUUAUCCUUUUGGUUUCCUUUACUAAGCUAUUUGGAGCACUUGUUGCAUGAUUGGACUGCCUUGAUUCUGAAUUUGACUACAUUUGGACCACAGGGGCUCAUUGAUUGCAUUUGUUAUUAGUGUUGAGGUAUUCGUAUAACCUGUGGGUGAUUGAAUUGUGCCUAUUGUUCAUUGGGUUGGUUUUAAACAAAAAAUUGUUAUUACUUUAAAAUUCCUGUUUCCAUUAUUUGUUGGCAAUUGUAGUCCCUUGUGAUUAGAGUGACAUCUAGAGAUCAUGGUAAGGCCAAGAUCCGCUUCUAGGUUAAGGACACCUAGACACUCGCAACCUCCUCCUACCCCAGGGGCUGACGAAUGGCACCAGGUCCAGAUGCGAGUUGAGCGACUAGCGACUCGGAUGACCCACAUUGACGUCAACCUGCAUCACAUGCGCAGAAUUUGGCAGCAUUUAUGCCCCAUGCAGGCCUUGAUCCUCAAUUUCCACCUGAACCGCCCCUGUUUUGAUGAUUUCAAGGAAGUACCGUUGCCCCUCUCUUUUCUUCUGUUUUUACAUUAUCACAUUGAGGGCAAUGUGUGACUUAGGUGUGGGGGGGUCAGUUUGGGUGCUAGUAUUUUUAGUUUUUAGGUUCUAGAGGUUUUUCCUUUGUUUUAGUUUGAUAUUUAUCUCCUUUUUCGUUUAUUUUCUUUUCUUUUCUUUUUCUAGUGGUCAGUCUUCAUAUGAAUACCAAGUUUGAUGCUGGAUUGUUGUCUCUAAUUCUGCUAUUGCCAAGUUUAUUAAUAAAAAGGUAUCAAGUUGAUGUGGUUGAGUUCAGGAACAUCUCUUUGGUGAAUAUCAAUAAUUACUUAACUUUUCCAAUUUUUGGUUAAUUUUUCUAGGCAUAGGGAAUGAUUGUUGGCAUUUUUCAUGUGAAUUGGUCCAAUUAUUAAUUUUUGUUCUCCAUGUCUGGAAAUUUGAGGCUGGCUGCUGUUAUUCUUGUGUUGCUUUUAGAUAUCGUGCUACAUGGUUGCAAAUAAGAGUGACUGUACACCGCUAGUGGUUACUACUGAGUAACCGGGGAUCUUCACUUGAAGUGUUGAUUUUCGUGUCAAAAGGUAGUAGUUGCUAUCAGUGCGUGGUCCCGUAGCAAUUGGAGCUGAGUAACCGGGCUCCUCCUCUAGCAAAUGUUGGAGUUCGCGUCAAAAGACUCUAAGGGCUAUAGACUAAGUCUUUUGUUAUUCAAAAAAAAAAAAAGAACAAAAAAAAAUGAGGAAAAAGAAGUGAAGUAAAGAUUGUGUUAGUAUGUGAAUAAGUCAGCUUGCCGGUUUGUGAUCUUAAUGUCGAGAUUUUGGUUAAUAGCUGGACCAUUUACUGAUAAAUGUGAGCAACCAUUCCUUUUUCUUAGAUUAGUUUGCUUUAAAUUGGAGGAGUUGGUGGUUGGGAAGCUAACCGGAGUGGUCUUUCUUGGAUCUUAACUGUGAUGCGUGAUAUAUGUUUUUCUAGGUAUUUUGGCAAUAUGAUAGUUAGAGCAAUAGCCAUUGUCAAAUUUUGGUGUUCAAGUGCUGUUCUUAUGCUUGAGGGCAAGCACGAUUUAGUGUGGGGGGAAUUGAUAGGGUGUUAAUUGUUAGUAAUUUUAUUGUUAAUUUCCCCUUUUAUCCUUGCCAAAUAUUGUUUUAUUUAUUAAUAUUUACUUAUAUUUGGUAUUGGACCCAAUUUCAGGGAGUGAAGCAGAAAACUACAAAAAGGAGGGACUUUCUGAAGAUAAUUGAGACUUCAAAUAAGCCACAGACCUGGCCCACAUGGUGAUAUACGCGGACUGCAUUUCUUUUUUGCGGAUUAGGAGUAUCUUGGAGUGUUGAAGUGUUUGACUAUCAAGAGGAAACUAAAGAAAGAAGGACUUCAGAGAACUUCACUUUAUGUACACUCCUUUCUCAAUUUCUGCGGGGACCACGGAGAGAAGAAAAGUCAUUUGAAUGGAAAGGAAACAAACGUGCAAAGAGUUGUCUUUGUUCCUUAUUCGUGGGGACCACUGGAUAGAUAGCUUGAGUUAUUUCCUUUUGGCUAUAUAAGGACAAUCGUAAGAAAGGCUACGGAGAGUUUUUUUAAUAUAGUUUAGUUUUAUUCUUUCUUGGUUCCUUUGAUGGCCUGGACCUCAGUUAAAUUACUUGGAGAUUUUCUCAUGAGGCGUGGCUAAGUUUUCCUAGUCGAAGGUCAAUUUGAGGACUCGGUUUCGAACAUCUGUGAGAUCUAAUUAUUUUGUUUAUUUCUUUUAUUUAUUGGUAUUUGUGCGUUUUCUGAUUUAAUUGCUUAUGCUUGUUAUGUUAUUUGAAUGUCAAGGGUCCGAUAUUCAAAUUAACCUAAUGAUCUAAUGCCAAAUUAAUUGAUUGAAUCCGUAAUUGUUCAACUGAUUAAUACCAGUGGCGACUAGCGUGAUUGGUUUCAUGUUAGGGAAACGUAUGAUCUAACUUAAACAAACUCUCGUAGCGUGUUUGUUGGUUAGGAUUGGGCUUUUCUAAUUAUUAAUGCAAUCGAGUAAUUAAAUCCUAUGAUCGUAGUUAGGGUUAUUUCUUGGUUAGAGAAAUAGUUAACGGUCGUACCUUAACUAUCGAGAAAUUAAGGAAAGGCGCGUGUAUGGCAACUAUAACCAAUUUAUUAAUAAGUAAUUGAAUUAUCUUUGCGUCGAUGAUCAGUUGCAUGGACCGUGUCUGAAAUGUUGCACCUUUGCCUAGAGUCAUAUUGGUUAUUGAUUAAUUUCUAUUUAUUUCUAUUAGUUGUUUUAUUGGUUAGUUAAUUAGUUAUUUUAUAUUCUCCAAAAAAUCCCCCAUACUUUGGACUUUAAAAGAAACGAAUUAUCCCCAGUCCCUGAAUUAUCCCCACUAUCUACAGAAAUUAUAUUUUAUUUAAGCAUGUAUUUAUUAUUGCACAGGUUUGACACCCUGUCAACAUAUAACAAUUAGUUCAUUUCACAAUCAAAUUUUAUAUUUAUAACAUUCUAAAUUCCUUAGAAGCGAUUUUUUUGCAAGUGCAUGAGUUGUGAUUGAGUAUAUGAUAUUAAGGGUCGAACCUACAGGGAAGAUUUUCAAAUAUUAUGGAUUUUCGAACUCCUUUAUUAUUUAGAUUAUCAUAAGUGCAAGAAAUUGAAUCUACACUAUAAAUAUGAAGUAAAAGUAUUAAAUAUAACAAUAGGAAACUCCUAAAGGUAUGGAAUUCCUUACUACUCUUGCCAAUAAAAUUACCGGUUAAUUGAAUGUUAUUAUCUUGGUUAGUUAUAGCGUAAUUUCCUAAUGUAUGUAAACCUACUCUCGAAGUGAAUCAAUUAUAUUUAUAGGUAAACCAUACUUACUCUCGUAGUUAUAAAAUUAAGUAUAAGUUCAUUUCUUCCAUGAAAUUAUAUGAAACAAGUCACUAAAGUCACAUAGGUGCACCUCUACUCUCAUGAAUGUACUCCCUAAGUUUAUCAUUUUCUUAAACUAGUAUUAAAUUUCAAUUCUCACUGCAGAUUUAAUACCUUAAUAUUAUCACAAUUAAUGGCCGAUUAAUCGUGAUUAGAUAAGCAAAGUGAUAAAAUAACUUGUUCAAAAUAAUAUCAUCAACUAACAAAAUAAACACCACUAACAAAAUAUAGGAAGUUCAUCGAUAACUCUAGGCAUAAACUUUAACUAAAUAUGGAAACAAACACCAAACUUGUAUUAUAGCUAAAUAUAAAAUCAAAUACAAAAGAGAAAGUGUUAGGAGAGAAGUCACCCUUGUCGCAUGAGAUCCAACUCUCCAUCUUUGCUUUUCAAAUCUUCAUUCAAAUCGAACUACAAACACAAAAAGGAUAAACUACACUAACUAUACUAUACUAAUGAACUAAGAAAAACUAAUGAAAACUAUAUUUUUGUGGAGUUUCUCUAGUCUUCCAAAGUUAUCAGAAUGUUUCUCAAAAGCUGCUAUUUAUAGAGAAUUCAAGCUCAAUAUGAGUUGUUUCUUAAUUGGCAAGUUUGGCUUUUGAAUUUACCAAGAAUUAUUUUCCAAGUUUCCACACUUUUCUUGGUCAGAUACAGCCUUACUGGAAUUGAGUUGGAAAGUUGUGUGAACAAAGAACAAGUUGCAACCGAAAAUGAUGAAUAUACGAUGACGUGCGCGGGGUAUACAUAUACAAUAAGUUUAUCCACAAUCAAGUUUUAUAUUUAUAAUUCCUAAAUAUCCUACACGGGAUUUAUUGCAAGUAUACGAAUCGUGAGCGAGUAUAGGGUAUUAAGGGUCGAUCCCACAGGGAAGAGUGACAAUUAUCGGUGUUUUUUGAAUUCUUUUAUUAUCUCAACUACCAUAAACAUAAAAUUAAUGAAAAUAAAACUAGAAAACUCCUAGAGAUAUGGAAUUCCUUACUACUCUUGCAAAUGAGAUUACCGGUUAAGUGAAUGCUAUUAUCUUGGUUAGUUAUGGCGUAAUUUCGUAAAGUAUGUGAAACCUACUCUCGUAGUGGAUCAACUAUACUUGUAGUUAUACUAUACCUACUCUCGUGGUUAUGAAAUUAACUACAAUCUCAUUUCUUUAUGAAAUUACAUGAACAAGUCACUAAAGCCACAAAUGUGCUCCUUUACUCUCGUGAGUGAAAUCCCUAGGUUUAUCACUUCCUUGAACUAGUGUUAAACUCCAAUUCUCAUUGUAAACUUAAUACCUUUAGAUAAUCACAAUUAAUGGUCUAUUAAUCAUGAUUAGCUAAGCAAAAGUGAUGAAUAACUUGCUCAAAAUAAUAUCAUCAAAUAACCAAGUAAACAUCGCUAACAAGAUAUAGAAAGUUCAUCCAUAACUCUAGGCAUAAACUUUAGAAACACAUAUAAAAACAUAAAUCGAAACUUAUAUUAUAGAUAAACAUGAAUUCAAAUACAAAAGAGAAAGUGAUAGGAGAGAAGUCACCCUUGUCACAUGAGCUCCAACUCUCCAUCUUUGCAUCUCCAAUUUUCAUCCAAAUCUAACUACAAAAACAAGAUGGAUAAACUACACUACCUAUAUUAUAUUACUCUAACUAAUGAACUAAGGAAACUCUAGUGAAAGUUACAUUUUUUGUGAGUUUCUCUAGCCUUCCAAAGUUUUUUAAAAUGCCCUCCAAAAGCUUUUAUAUAUAGAGGAUUCAAAAGCCAAAUGAGUUGUUUCUAGUUGUCAUUUUGAAACUCUCUAAGUCUGUUUCUCAAAGUGUCCAUGCAUCAUAUGAUCAUUUCCAGUCGGAAUCUUUGCAAAAAAAGUGAUAAAAAAGGUUGUUGAUAAGAGUUUAUUUUACGUAUUUUUAGUGUGUUUUAUUAGUUAAUUUUGGUUUGAUUAUUUAGUUUUAUAACUAAAAUAACUAAGGUUUUGGUAAAAAAACUACAUUUUAUGUUAAAAUGGCUAAACAUUGCAUUUUAUGGAUUUUUAUGGUAAAAAAACUUCAUAUUUUGUAGGUUUAAUGAUUCAAUCAUCAAAUGAAGUGCAUUGGGAAGAUAUUUGGAUGAUUGAAGAUGGAUUAAAGUGGUGAAAAAAAAAUAUGAAGUGUAAAAGGAAAAAUGCAAGAAAAGUCAGGUUUAACAACUCUGACACGUUUUGGUAUUUUGACUAUAUCUGGAGCUACACAGAUCGGAUCAAGGUGAUCUUGGUACCAUUUUGAAGCUAAGAGAUAUAUCUACAUUUGGUAUGAAGACAUCAAAGUCCAAUUCAGCCGUUUUCAUAGUCCAAAAGUUGAAAUACCGAAAUUCAACUCAGCUGUCCAAAGUGGAAAACAGAGCUCCGACCAGUCUAUAGUAUUUCGGUCAUAUCUCAGGCUACAAAGCUCCAAUUUGGAUGAUUCUUGAAGCAUUGAAAAGCUAACUCAAAGGGCUACAACUUUGCUGUUUUACACAAAAGCUAGUUCGGCCUUUAUGAGACAAAAUCGCAGAUUAAGUAAGGCCAAAGUGAAUACGCGAGUACACAAAACGUGACUUGUAACCGCGUUUUGUGUAGGCGCGUUUUCUGGCCGAAAUUCUGCAAUUUGACUCAGCCAUUUCCCUUGUGUUCAUACCACUUUCCAGCUAUAAGAUGCAAGGGAAUUCGGUGCACAUGCUUCAGAAGACAAAAUGGCAGACAAUAUGGCUUAUUUUCAAGUCAAAAACAAUGGUUUUUGACUAUCUUAACAAAAUGAGAUUUGAAGAAUCAUAGCAGCAAAUUUGGACUGGGAGAAGAGGAACUUUUCAUGAGUUUAUAUGCAGAGACAGAGAGCCAUUCAUUCAUUAUCAUACGGGGAGAGAACUUGAAGUGCAGAAAUGUAGUUCUUUCAUUUCCUUAGUGUAGGAUAGUGUAGUAAGUGUAGUUAAUCCAUUCUUGUAUAAUAGCUAGAUUAGGAUGAAGAUGGAGAUAAAGAAGAAGGAGUUGAAGCUCAAGUGACAUGGGUUAUCUCUACUCCAAUUCUUUAUCUUUUGUAUUGGAUUCUUAACUAUGGUUAUAAUGCAAGUUCUGGAAUUUAUGUUUAUUAUUUGUUUCUAAAGUUUAUGCCUUGGGUUUGGUUGAACUUCCUAUGAUUGUUAGUGUUUAUCAUUUGGCUAUUUAACUGCUAUGAUUUGAGCAAGUUAUUUAGCACUUUAGCUCUUUAAAUCAUGAUUAAUCUGGUACCAUUAAUUAUGAUUAUCUAAGGUGUUAUUUCUACAAUGAAAAUUGAGAUUUAACAUUAGUUCAAGAAGUGCUAAACAUAGGGAAUACACUCACGAGAGUAGAGGUGCACCUAUGGGGUUUUGGUGAUUUAUUUCAUGUAAUUUCAUUGAAGAAAUGAACUUGUAACUAAUUUCAUAACCAUGAGAAUAGGUAUGGAUUGGUUAUUAGUAUAAUUGAUUCACUACGAAAGUAGGAUUCAAAUGCAUAAGGAAAUUACACCAUAACUAGCCUAGAUGUAGUACUCAAUGAUCCAAAUAUAACACUUGCAUGAGUAGUUAGGGAUACCACAACCUAAGGAGCUUUUAUUUGUUAUUUUGUAUAAUUUCAGUAGGUUAAAUUUCUUAUAAUUCAUUGAUAGUCUAAAUAAUAGAGAAGUUUUAGUAAUACCGGUAAUUGUUCACUCUUCCCUAUGGGAUCGACCCGAUAUAUACCCUAAACUACUAGUUGAUCUGUAUACUUGCAGUGAACGGGUGUAAUUCGAUUUUUUAACUUGUACGUAUGUAAAAUACCCGUCAAGUUUUUGGCGCCGUUGCCGGGGAAGAUUUGGCAAUAUCGGUGUGAAGAGCAACUUUAUUAGUUUAGACAUUUUAUUAGUUAUAGUGUGAAUGUUGUUUUCUGUUAUUUUAGUGUUUUAAAUGUGUAUGUGUUUUAUCACCUAUUCUUCUUACUAAUUUUGCUCUUAAGUUGUUUAAAAGUAAUUUUAGGUGAUGAGAAAGAUAGGUCAAUUUGGAGGACAAUGCUUGAGAAGUGGAAGAUUGGCAAUGGAUGGUUAUCAAGUGCAAAGCUCCUUCAACAGAGGUAACCAAAAAUUUACUGAAUGUAUGUCUUUUGAAGAUGGUUUAAGGUGCUUAAAGGCUAAAUUUGAUGUUAUGAUAUUACAAGUUCAAAUGGACACAAUUAAGCAUGAAAUUGAGCAAGGGAGGAAUGUUAAUGCUUUUAAUUCUUAUCAUGUGAUUUGUGACUUGUGUGGAGGUUAUCAUGCUACUAAUACAUGUAUGCAAGCACAAAAUGUGGAUUAUUAUUAUGAAUUCGAGCAUUACAAUCCUUGUUUUGAUCAAUAUAGUGCUAAUUGGAGCAAUUCUCCUGCUUAUGGUUGGGAUAAUCAAUUUACUUAUAGUAAUUCUUCAUAUUUUUAUGAUUACCAAUCUGAAUGUGUCCAAUAUGAAUCAAAAUCAUCUUGGGAGUUGGCAAUAGAAAAAGUAGCUAAUGAUUCUAAGCCAUCUUGGGAGUUAGCUUUAGAAAAAUUAGCUAAUGCAACUUCUGACCGUUUUGAUAGGAUUGAGGAAAGAAUAGAUGAAUUAGCUUCUCACUUUGGUAGAAUACAUGAGCAAUUGAAUGCAUUGUGUGAAGUUAUUUUCUCUAAUAAUUUGCAAAACGAUCCUAGCAUGAAUGGUGGGAAUGUUGUAUGUGAAAAUGGGUUGCAUUUUGAUGAAAAUGAUGAAUCUCAAUUGUGUUUCAAUGAGCAAAUGUCCAUUUCACAUGAUAAUAUUGUUGGAACUAACUUUGAACCUCAAGAGGUGAGUUUUAAUGACUCAUUUUUCACCCCUCUUGAGGAGUGCAUUGAAAGUAUAGGUUCUAAAGGUAUUCCUGCCCAAGAUACUCUCAUGACAUUUCUUUUGGUAAGUUCUCAAGUGGUGCAUAUUCAAGAUAAUAUUUAUGAAACACUUGGAUUAGGUAAGUCACUUCUAUUUCUCACAUCAUUAGAUCAUGUGGCUUUUGCUAUAAAGUCACCUUUUAAUGAUCCACCACGACCUAAAAUGGUGGAUUAUUCUUUAACCAAGCCUCCUUGAUAAUGAGGUUCAAUAGUCGAGCCAACGACUAUAAAUAAAAGCGCUUAUUGGGAGGCAACCCAAUAUAUAUAUAUAUAUAUAUAUUUUUUUUUAGCUAUUUAUGUUAUUUUGGGGUGAUUUUAUGUUUACAGUAUGAGUUUGAGUUAUUUUGAUGUUUUUCAUUUGUAGGUAUUGGAAAUGAAAGCAAAAGUGACCAAAUGAGGUGAAAAAGGCGAAAUUUGAUCAAGGAACUCAACCCCUCGAUUUGAGUAAUUGUUGUUUUUGAUUUGUUAGAAGGGGUUAAAAUGCAUAUUUUGAUCAUUUUACAUGUGCAUGCAUUGAGAAUUUUAGCAAACAAAUGAUCUAUGAUGCAUUUUGAAAAUUUGGGGUAUCAUUUGUAAUUAUUCUUAAGUUAAAUUUCUGCUAAAUUUCGCAGCAGAAAAUGCAUUUUUCUAAAAAAACGCGCCAGUGAAUCGCGUUUUCAUAGAAUCGCGUUUUCAAUUCUGCGCCUAUAAUGAAGAAAACGCGCCUUAAAAAUGCGACAGAAAGUCGCGUUUUCCAGCCUGAUCAAAAAUUGAAAACGCGCCUUUAGAAACGCGACAUUAAAUCGCGUUUUUAAGCAUAGCCGCGUUUUCGAUCCUGCAAGAUAUGUGAAGAAACGCGACUUCAAAAAACACGGCUUGGUGGCGCGUUUUGAUGAGUCACGUUUUCUGAGCGAAAAUGCAGCUUCCUUGAUUCUCUUUUUCUUCUUUUUCUCAUAUAUUUUCUUGUACCUUGAGUUGCUUAUUGUAUUUUUUAUAGGUACAUCACCAAAACAAGAGCUUGAAGUUACGGAUCGCCGUUUUGAUGUCUUAAGCCUUUGUUAUCACUUUUGUUUCUCAUUUUCCAUUUUUAGGUUUACAUCACUAAUGGUUAUCCAAUGGAACUCAUGAAGCGUUGGAGAUACACGGACAAUGGAUCUUGAAGCUUCAUAUUCAAUCACAACAAUAGGGGAGUAUUACUUUCUUCAUCUUAAUUUCCCUUUUUACACAUUGAGGACAAUGUGCAUGUUAAGUGUGGGGGGAAGAAUUGAGAUUAUAUACAUUGUAUGUGAUUGAAUUAUUAGUUGCAAAUAUUGGACUUGUGUUAAAAUUCAAAAUUUUUCUAACAUCUUGUCCAAAAUUGCAAAUUUGCCCCAAAAAUUUUAAAAAUUUAAAUUUCAUCCAAAGGGGUAACAAAGUUCCAUACCAUUAGUAGUUCAAAUUCCUUCUACAUUUGAGAUAAAUAUAUGUGGUUUAAGCACUUCUUUUCUCAUUUAACUUGGAAAUGACUAUUAUGUGAUUAUAAUUUUUGCAUUUGUAAGAAAGUAUAUCUUUUAAAGUGGAGAAAAUUAUGCCUAUAUUUUUUUUUGCAUAUUUGAUGAAAUUUCUUCGCUUUAUUUGAUUUUAUAAGUUAAGUGAUAAAUAUGGUCAAUAAGUGCAAUACUCUUCUCAUGAUUAUUCUUUUGAGGAAUUUAUUAUUAUCUUUGCUGUAAAAAGAAAAAAAGAAAAAAAAGUGAAAAAAAAGAAGAAAAAAAAAUUUAUUUAUUCUACUCCAAUGAUUCUUGUACUUAGUAACCGGGAGUCUUCAUCUACAAAUGUCGACUUUCGCGUAAAACGGUACUUGAAUUAAGAGUAUGCAAAGCAACUUGAGUAUGUGAAGUGUUGAGUAACCGGUGAUCUUCAUCUAAAAAUGUUGAUCCUCGCGUAAAAAUAUACUUUCACAACUUAAGUAAUAUUAGCUAUAUUAUAUAAAUAAAUCCCUUUUUAAAUUAAAUAAGAAGAUGAUCAUGGGUUUAGAAAGCAUAUUAUUGACCAUAUAAGUUACUUACUUGUAAGAUUGGGUAAGGAUGAAAAAUGGAUUUGAACCUGUUAUAAUUACGGUAUAAUUGGCUCUCCUUUACUUGAUAUUAUGAGUACUUGAAUUUAAUUGAAUAAUUGCAUAAUGGUUAUUUACUUUGUUUUGAGGAAAUGAAGUUGAAAUGCUACAUAUGUUUAUUUUCAACUUUUGGAUCAUGGUUGGUUUGUAUUUCUUAUUGCUUGAGGACAAGCAAUGAUUCAAGUGUGGGGGUAUUUGAUAAGAGUUUAUUUUACGUAUUUUUAGUGUGUUUUAUUAGUUAAUUUUGGUUUGAUUAUUUAGUUUUAUAACUAAAAUAACUAAGGUUUUGGUAAAAAAACUACAUUUUAUGUUAAAAUGGUUAAACAUUGCAUUUUAUGGAUUUUUAUGGUAAAAAAACUUCAUAUUUUGUAGGUUUAAUGAUUCAAUCAUCAAAUGAAGUGCAUUGGGAAGAUAUUUGGAUGAUUGAAGAUGGAUUAAAGUGGUGAAAAAAAAAUAUGAAGUGUAAAAGGAAAAAUGCAAGAAAAGUCAGGUUUAACAACUCUGACACGUUUUGGUAUUUUGACUAUAUCUGGAGCUACACAGAUCGGAUCAAGGUGAUCUUGGUACCAUUUUGAAGCUAAGAGAUAUAUCUACAUUUGGUAUGAAGACAUCAAAGUCCAAUUCAGCCGUUUUCAUAGUCCAAAAGUUGAAAUACCGAAAUUCAACUCAGCUGUCCAAAGUGAAAAACAGAGCUCCGACCAGUCUAUAGUAUUUCGGUCAUAUCUCAGGCUACAAAGCUCCAAUUUGGAUGAUUCUUGAAGCAUUGAAAAGCUAACUUAAAGGGCUACAACUUUGGUGUUUUACACAAAAGCUAGUUCGGCCUUUAUGAUAGACAAAAUCGCAGAUUAAGUAAGGUCAAAGUGAAUACGCGAGUACACAAAACGUGACUUGUAACCGCGUUUUGUGUAGGCGCGUUUUCUGGCCGAAAUUCUGCAAUUUGACUCAGCCAUUUCCCUUGUGUUCAUACCACUUUCCAGCUAUAAGAUGCAAGGGAAUUCGGUGCACAUGCUUCAGAAGACAAAAUGGCAGACAAUAUGGCUUAUUUUCAAGUCAAAAACAAUGGUUUUUGACUAUCUUAACAAAAUGAGAUUUGAAGAAUCAUAGCAGCAAAUUUGGACUGGGAGAAGAGGAACUUUUCAUGAGUUUAUAUGCAGAGACAGAGAGCCAUUCAUUCAUUAUCAUACGGGGAGAGAACUUGAAGUGCAGAAAUGUAGUUCUUUCAUUUCCUUAGUGUAGGAUAGUGUAGUAAGUGUAGUUAAUCCAUUCUUGUAUAAUAGCUAGAUUAGGAUGAAGAUGGAGAUAAAGAAGAAGGAGUUGAAGCUCAAGUGACAUGGGUUAUCUCUACUCCAAUUCUUUAUCUUUUGUAUUGGAUUCUUAACUAUGGUUAUAAUGCAAGUUCUGGAAUUUAUGUUUAUUAUUUGUUUCUAAAGUUUAUGCCUUGGGUUUGGUUGAACUUCCUAUGAUUGUUAGUGUUUAUCAUUUGGCUAUUUAACUGCUAUGAUUUGAGCAAGUUAUUUAGCACUUUAGCUCUUUAAAUCAUGAUUAAUCUGGUACCAUUAAUUAUGAUUAUCUAAGGUGUUAUUUCUACAAUGAAAAUUGAGAUUUAACAUUAGUUCAAGAAGUGCUAAACAUAGGGAAUACACUCACGAGAGUAGAGGUGCACCUAUGGGGUUUUGGUGAUUUAUUUCAUGUAAUUUCAUUGAAGAAAUGAACUUGUAACUAAUUUCAUAACCAUGAGAAUAGGUAUGGAUUGGUUAUUAGUAUAAUUGAUUCACUACGAAAGUAGGAUUCAAAUGCAUAAGGAAAUUACACCAUAACUAGCCUAGAUGUAGUACUCAAUGAUCCAAAUAUAACACUUGCAUGAGUAGUUAGGGAUACCACAACCUAAGGAGCUUUUAUUUGUUAUUUUGUAUAAUUUCAGUAGGUUAAAUUUCUUAUAAUUCAUUGAUAGUCUAAAUAAUAGAGAAGCUUUAGUAAUACCGGUAAUUGUUCACUCUUCCCUAUGGGAUCGACCCGAUAUAUACCCUAAACUACUAGUUGAUCUGUAUACUUGCAGUGAACGGGUGUAAUUCGGUUUUUUAACUUGUACGUAUGUAAAAUACCCGUCAGUUGUGUAAAAAGAACACAAGUUACAGAGCAAGUUACAGCCUGAAUAUACUAAAAUGCAGGUAUAAAAUGCGGCCUAUGCCCUAGUUUUGAGCCCUCGUUUUGCUUUUUUUACAGGUUUGCCAAUUCUGGCCAGAUUUCAUUCUUGCUCUAUUUUUAGUCCAAUUUCUACUGAUAUUUAUUUGAUGAUGGAGACCGAACUAACUCUUGUACAAAACAUGAAAAUUGUAUCCCUUUGAGUUAGUUUUCCAAUGCCUUAAGAAUCAUUCAAUUUGGAGCUUUGUGGACCGCGAAAUGAUCAAAAUACCAUGACUGGUCAAUCUCUUGUUCCGCUUUUGACCAUGCAGAUGAGCUUCUGUAUGUCGACUUUUUGACAAUGAAGACAACUAAACUGGACUUCUAUUCUUCAUACCAAAUGUAGAUCUAUCUCUUAGGUCCAAAAUGGUUCAAAAAUCAUCUCAAUUUGAUCAUUGUAGCUCAAGAUAUUGCCAAAAUACUACAAUAUGUCAAAGCUGUGAAACUUGCUUCCUUUUAUUCUUGAUUGCAUUUCCUUUUUUGAAUUUUCUAUUCUCUUUUCAUCACUUUAAACUAUCAUCAAUCACCCAAUUAUCUUCUAAAACCAUGCUAUUUGAUGAUUGAAUCAUUAAACCUACAAAACAUGAAGUUUUCACCAUAAAAAUCCAUAGAAAUGUAAUUUUUACCACUUUAACCAUAAAAUGCAUUUUUCACUAGAAUUCUACUUAAUUAGCCAUAAAAGUAACUAAAACACACCAAAACUAACUAAUGAAACACACUUAAAACACGUAAAAUAUACACUUAUCACACGACCUUAAAAAUGCGACCUUAGGUCUUGUAUUCCACCCCACAUUUUCUCCUUUACAAGUUUGCACUUUUUGGGUAGAAUUUAUCCUUGCUCUGUUUUUUAUCCAACUGCAAUCAUAUUUUUCUUAAUGAUAAGGUUCACCUAGCUCUUGUACAAAACACAUCAAGAAUCAUCCAAUUUGGAGCUCUGUGGAUAGCAAAAUGACCAAAAUACCCUCAACUAGUCAGAACUCUAUUUCAACUUUCGACCAUAAAAAUGCACUUCUAUAUUUUGCCUUUUUGACAAUGAAAAUGACUGAACUGGACUUUGAUGUCCCAUAUCAAAUGUAGAUCCAUCUCUUAACUUCAAAAUGGUAUGAGAAUCACCUCAAUCCGAUGCUUAUAGCUCAAGAUAUAGUCGAAAUACGAAAAUAUAUCAAAACUGUGAAAAUUCCUUUCUUUUGUUCUUGUUUGCAUUCCAUCUUUGCACUUCAUGUCUUCUUUAAGCUAUUUCAAAUCAUCAAUAAUUAUUCAAAUAUGUUCUCAAUUCAUGCCAUUUGAUGAUUGAAUCCUUAAACCUACAAAACAUGAAGUUUUCACCAUUAAAAUCCAUAGAAAUGUAAUUUUUCACACUUAAACCACAAAAUACAUAUUUUCACUAGAAACUUAGUUAAUUAACUAUAAAAAUAGUUAAAACACAUUAAAACUAACUAAUAAAAUAUGCAAAAACAUGUAAAAUAUGCACUUAUCAGUAAGACAUUAUUGGCCAUGUACAGUCAAUUUGCAACUUAAAAAGUUUGUGGGUAAAGUCAGUUUGCAACUGAAGAAGUUGAUUAGAAGUUGAGUUUUGCUGAUAAGUACAUUGAUUCUAUUCAUUUGUUUAUUCUUUCCGAAAUUAUUAUAGUAUCCAUGACAGUGAGAUUUAUUUCACAUUCCAGUGGGAAGCGCAAAUAAUAAUUCUUAAGAAAUUCCAAGCCUAUUAUAAGCAAUUUUUUUGGUGCCAUGCUUGUGCAAGAAAUAGCCACUUUUUUUUUUUGCAAUUUUUUAGGUUAUUCUCUAAACACGGUUUUAAAUAAUUUUUAUUUUUUGUUAUUACGUUGUCGUCCAGAUAUCACAUCCACAACAUUGAAACAUAAAUAAGUUUAAGAACUUCAAUAAUUGGACUAAGUUUCUUGCUGCACUUUGCUUAUUGAUUGAACUCUAGGACCUACUUGCUACUGGAACCGAGACCUCAGCGACUACAAUAGAUGGGCCAUUUCAGAGCUACUGAAAAACCCAGAAAUAUUCUACAGGGCAGCUGAAGAACUCGAUCGUGUUAUUGGUCAGAAUCGAUGGGUGAAAGAGAAGGACAUGCCAAAUCUUCCUUACAUAUAUAGAGGCUAUUGUUAAAGAAGCAAUGCGUAUGCACCCCGUCGCAUUGCUAGCGCCAAGAUGUGCUCGCAAAGAUUGCAAAGUUGCAGGGUACGAUAUCGAAAAGGGAACUCGAGUCCUCCCCGAAUUGUGGGAGACGACAGAGGAAUUUUGCCCCGACAGAUUCACGGGAAAGGACAUUGAAUUCAAAGGGCAAGACUGUAAGUUCCGAGCAUUUGGUGCUGGAAGAAGAAUGUGCCCAGGGUACAAUUUAGGCCUCAAGGUUAUCCAAUCUAGUUUGGCCAAUCUUUUACAUGGAUACAGAUGGAAGUUGCCAAAUGACAUGAUGCCUGAGGACCUGGACAUGGAAGAAAUAUUUGGGCUCACUACACCAAGAAAGAUCCCACUUGUUGCCAUUGUUGAGCCUCGGCUUCCUCGUAAUCUUUAUUCACUGUGAUUCUCUACAUGUAUGUUUGAUCUCCCAGUAUCAUCAUUAUCAACUUGUGUUCAAAUAAAUCAGCUCUGCAAGUUUAGAAUUUGUAGCUGCGCUUAUAUGUGUUUGCCAAUUGCCACAACGCUGCAAACCCUUGUAGUUGGUGCAUGGCAUAUGCGUAAUCACUGAGAUUGUUAUGCCUAUUUAAAUCCAAAUUUGUGCACAAUUUUGUGAAACUGUGAAUAUGUACACCCCUGAUGUUCCAAAUACAAUCUAUAACAUUCUGACGCUAAUUUAAAUCUGUAAUGGCAGGUUUACAGUCAAAGCAAUGUGCUCUCUGCCAUCUUUCCUCUUAGCAUGGCCAGUGCCAGAAGUUGUUCCUACUUCCUAUGCACCUCUAAAUCAUCCCACUAGAUUGGUGCUGCUUUCCAUACUUGUUGGGAGGGAGAGAGAGAGAGGAAAGAAAAGAGGGGAGGGUGGGGUGGCUGUGGCAGUGGUGGCAAUGGGAAGGGAGGGAGGAGGAAGAGCAGCAGUGGUGUGGUGUGGGGAGGAAGAGGAAGAAGGGCGGAAAGAAAGGGAAAAAAAAAAAGGAAAGAAAAAAUAAGCAAGAUCAAAUGUCAAAAUGUCACAAAUUUAUAAUAUUACCGUUGUGCUCUUUAUAACUAUUUAACUAAAAAACCAAAACAAAAAGAGAAUUUUUAAAAGACCAAAAAAUAUAGACGAAAAAAAAAAACCAAAUUGCUAUCCAAUAUUGGUCCAUAUUUCUUUGUAUCAAGGUGGUGGUGGGAUAGUAAAAGAUAUGAGUAAAUUAAAAUCUAGUUAAAAUCAAAAAGUUAGAAGGAUUUCUUUGAAGUUAUAUUUGGCGGAUUUUUUUUUGGAAGUAACAAUAUUAUGAGGAUUUGCCUUGGGGUAAUAGCAGCUUGACUUCAAUAUUGAAGAUUGUCCGGCACAUAAAAUCCCAAGUCGUAGUCUCCAAGAUAUAUGUAUGAAGUGACGACGAGGUUCUUGAUAAAUCCAUUUAUGACAGCACCAUGUGCAACUCAUGAUAAAUUCAUAGGCUUUGAAUCUCCAUUCGGCCAUAAUUAAAUGUAAUUUUAUUUAAAAAAUACAGAUGGAUACAUAGUACGUCCAUUUGAUUAAAUAGUGAUUCAAUUUCUUACGGAUUACUUUAGGAUCUCUUCGAGCUUUUUCCCAUUAUGUAGUAGGCUAUCUUAUCGACAAAAAAAAAAAAAAAUCUCCAUUCGGCCAAAAAUCAUACUCCCUCCGUCCCAGAAAGUGUGUCGUAUUUCGGGGGAAUUGUAAUUAUUAUCAACAGUGCAAGACUUUUAAAUGAUUUGUAUUUAAGUUCCGGCAAUGUCCCUUGACUUUCAAUGUAUUCAUAACGUGGGUGAAUGAUAAAAGGGGCACAGGUUGUGAUAAGACAUACGGGACCCAAAAGAUUUAAAUGCCUCCACACUACUUUGAAAGAAAGUGUCAUGCACGAUUGCUAUUACCAUUUCACGUGAGAGUCACGAACUAUUGAGUGUAGUGUUGGUACUUGGUAAGUGAACAGAAAUGUGUCACAUUGGGCCCACUAAAAGGUAAGAAAAGGCUGUCACAUUGAAGGGUAUGGAGCGGAAAUGUGUGAAAACUUUCAUUGCCAAUUUUAGUAAGUGACAAUUAUUUUGAGACGGAUAAAAAAGAAAAGUAUGACAUUAUUAAUGGGACGGAGGGAGUAAACCCAUGGGCCAAAAAAUAGAUAAACAAGUUGAGUACUACGCUUUGUCAUGUACCGUGAUAUUAUUAUUAUUGCGAAAGAAAGUAUUCUCUAUUAUGACAGGACCAUGUGCAACUCCUGUCAGACUCAGGAGCUUUCACCUUUCCGACCGGACUCGCUGUGUCGGGCGAAGGAGAUCAGAUGUCAAAUUUCAGUUGAUUUGCGGCUGGAAGGCUAAGGAAGCUGUAGGUCCUGAAGCAAAAUUAGAUGGUUGCCAUACAACAACAAAUCUUUUUAAAGGUUUUUUUUAACUAAAUAAAAUAUUCCCUCUCAAAUUAGUUUUCUUUUUCCAAAUUUCAGUUAUGUGAGUAAAUGAAAGCUUUUACAACCAUUAGUUCUUUUAAAAUAUUUUAAAGCGUAACUGCAUGUACACAUUCUAUUAUAUUCAUUUGUCUCUUCUUCAGUUUUUAUACUCCAUCUAGGAUGUCUAAUCAUAAUUCCGUAAAAAAUUAAAAACUAUAUAUAUUUUUCUUUAUAAUUAGUCAAUUAUAAAUUGGUAAAGUUCUAAUCAAUUUCAUCCAUUAUCUAACUUGCAAGAAAGGAAUAGAUAUCUCCUAAAUACAAAGUUCAAAAGGAAUUUCUAGUCUUUUAUAAUCACGUUCACAUGAUGUUUCGGUGGAUAUCCAUUUGUCCAUUUUCCGUUAAAGAAACUUUACUUAUUACAAUCUUUUUCUUUACACUCCUCUAAAAUAGUAUGAAAUAUUACCAUAAUUCUUCACAUGUCACUAUUAAACCGAGGGUUAAGGAUUAUCGGAAAGUAAUCAUUAAAUAGUAUAUGAGUUUAUGUUUAGUGUCUUACAUUCAUUAAAUUUAUUGUUUUUUGGAAAAUUAAAGUUCGAAGAUAAAAAGAAGUUAAUGCAAAUGCACGGCUGAAUAACUGGUGGUCUAAUUCUAUUGCUUGCUUACCCACAAGAAUGACCACGCCAACACUACAUUAAUACACUCAUACUUUUGCAUUUCUUAAUUACUUGCAUUUCUUAUUCUUUCUUCCCAACAAUUCUACAGCCCAUAAUCAAUUUUAAUUCAGUAAUCUUCAUACAACUCUGAACAUAUAACUAUAUUUAAUAUAAAUUCUUGACAUACCUGCAUUUCAAUUCUCAAAAUCUUAUGGCAUGCCUUACUUUAUAAUGGUGUUUAAUUACUUAAGUUCUUAAACGAUCAAUCAUAUCAAAAUCAUAAACUUGUACCGUACAAUAGGAUGCUCUUCACAUCAUGAUCAGGAGUUUAGCAAUUAAUCUCCAUCAUGUCACAAUUAAAUUCAAUUUCAUAGCUAGGGGUGAAAUUGCAAAGCAUUUGGUUAAUCGGAUGUUUGAAGAAAUUUAAUUAAUUAAAUUUAAUAUGAAUUUAGUUCAGUCAAAUAGAUUUCGAUAUGGUCUUGGUAAAAACAAAAUUAUGAGAGUGCUUAAUUAGUUUGAAAGUAACUCUAAGUUCUCGAUUUUUUAUUUUAACUGGUAUAACACACACACACGUACAAUAUGUUACACAUGUUCACUUCACGUUAUUGUGGAUAUUUAAUAUUCUUAAUUACUACUUUCUUUUAUUCUUUUUUCCAUCAUCUCUUCACUUUCCUUCUUUCUUUUUCUUGAUCACUUGCAUUUUGUGAAAUUAUUUUUCAUGUUUCCAAUUGUUUGCUUUAAUUGGUUUUUCAUAUUUGUAAUUAUUUUUCAUUAAUAUCAAUUUCAUCCUAUUUAUGACUAACAUCUGACAGUGAUUUAUGCCUUUCCAAUUUGACAAUUAUUUGGUUAAAAAAACUUUAAAAAGAUUUGUUUUAUUGCAUUGCAAUUUUUGGGGACCAAUUAAUUUUGCUUCAGGUCCACAACUUCCUUGCUAAGCGUGUUGUGAGGGUUACACAGCGGCCUUGUUUAAAUUGUGCUUUUUUGCAAAAAAGAAUUUUACAUUUUUCGUAAAUAUAUUUUUUUCAAUUAUCUUUCUUAUCUCAUCUCAGAUGCAUCAAAUAGUUACAUUAUAUUUUUUUAUAAAGCUCCUAAAAAUAGCAAUGCAAAUGGAGCCCUUCCAGCCGCAAAUCAAUUGAGUUUUGAUGUCAUUUUCUGUGUGAAUUCCUUCUUUUGACAUGUAUCCACUUCGUAUGGUUGGAUCUUCCCGCUAUAGACCGAUCCGGUAGCAUAGUUUUUUUGCUCAAUCACUUAAGCUAUCAUGUUAGAGAUCAAUAAUCAGAGGCUUACAAACUUUCGUAAAAAUUUUCAUUUGAACAGCUAAAUAACCAAAGUCUGACGGCUAAACAAAACAAAAAGCUCAUUAUAAUUGCUGCUAUUUGUACAACUUUUCUGUGAUUAAAUAAAAUUCCCUUCCUCGUUAAAAUAAAUGAAAGAAAAUAUGAAGGAGAAAUUAAAUUGAUCUAAUUGUUUAACAAUUACUAGUAUUUCUUUUUGUGAUUUGAACUACUUCCUUUCCAUGUUUCGUACACUUAAAUCAGUGGCUUACACGUUUUCGUAUUGCACUAAUUUUCUUUUGUAAACCAAUAAUCAAAACUUAAAACUUAUUGCACUAGUAGUUAUUGAGUGACUUCCACGCCUUUGCUCAUUAUAAAUACCGGCCCCCUCCACAUUCCAAACACACUCAACCAUCUUCCUCCUUGUGCUACAAUCUGCCACCUCCAUCACCCCCACUGCUCCCACAAAAUGGAAAGCUUUUCUCCCAACUGGGCUGCGUGUGCACUCGCGUGGGUUGCAACGGUGGUUAUUAUCACCCAACUCUCGAAGCAUUUCCAUCAGAAAAAACUCAACCUCCCACCAGGUCCAAGGCAAUGGCCAAUAAUUGGAAACUUAAACCUCAUUGGCACCCUUCCUCAUCGCUCACUCCAUCAUCUCUCCCUAACAUAUGGCCCCCUAAUGCACCUUCAGUUCGGCUCCUUCCCGGUUGUCGUUGGCUCCUCUGUGGAGAUGGCCAAAGUUUUCCUCAAAACCAUGGACCUCACAUUUGCAGGGAGGCCUAAAACUGCAGCCGGAAAAUAUAUCACUUAUAAUUACUCCGACCUGCUUUGGUCCCCUUACGGACCAUACUGCUGCCAGGCACGUAAGAUUUUCCUUACGGAAUUAUUUAGUGCAAAAAGACUCGAAUCAUACGAACAUAUUCAGGUGGAAGAAAUGAAUUCACUUCUGCUGCAGCUAUUCAAAUCAUCGGGCAAGCCUGUCGUUUUGAAAGAUUAUCUUUCAACAGGGAGUUUGAACGUGAUUAGCAGGAUGGUCCUGGGGAAAACAUACAUUGAUGAGUCUGAGAACUCAAUUGUCACGCCCGAAGAGUUCAGGCAAAUGAUGGACGAGUUUUUUUUGCUGACUGGUGUGUUUAACAUUGGUGAUUUCAUACCCUGGAUCGAUUUCUUGGAUUUGCAAGGGUAUAUCAAGAGGAUGAAAAUCUUGAGCAAGAAAUUUGAUAGGUUUCUGGAGCAUGUUCUCGAUGAGCAUAAUGCCCAAAGGAAGGACGAAACUAAUUGCGUCAGCAAGGACUUGGUGGACGUCCUUCUGGGCCUUGCAGAUGAUCCCACUUUGGAGGUGAAGCUAGAGAGGCGUGAAGUCAAGGCAUUGACUCUGGUAUAUGUUACUUAAAAACUGCAUAACGCAUGCUGUCAACUUUUAAACGACUGAAAACUUGAGAGAAAAUAGUCAGUGAUCUUUUGAACUUCAAUACUCUCCCAAAAAUUUCUUUGCUACUGGAAACUUGAGAGAAAGUAGUCAGGAUCUUUGGAGUUUGAUGAAAAUUUUUCAGUGGAGGCAGAAUUAACAAGAAAAUUGCUUUUGAUAAAGGUACUCAAACAAGUAAGACAUUGUUGACCAUGUACAGUCAAUUUGCAACUUAAAAAGUUUGUGGGUAAAGUCAGUUUGCAUGUCAAGAAGUUGAUUAGAACUUGAGUUUUGCUGAUAAGUUGGUUCUAUUCAUUUUUAGCUAUUUUUUAUUAUUUUUAUUACGUUGUCAUCCAGAUAUCACAUCCACAACAUUGAGACAUAAUAAGUUUAAGAACUUCAAUAAUUGGACUAAGUUUCUUGCUGCACUUUGCGUAAUGAUUGAACUCUAGGACCUACUUACUGCUGGAACCGAGACCUCAGCGAUUACAAUAGAAUGGGCCAUUUCGGAGCUACUGAAAAACCCAGAAAUAUUCGAC
rnacentral:lncRNA from 1 species